rnacentral:lncRNA from 1 species
AACCAGCUCCUGCAUGGUAAUUAAAUCCUUUUAUAUCAUUCAUUUCAUACCUUCCACUCCUUUAGUUUGCUCCUGCUGCAUGAUAAUUAAAUCCCUUUAUAUCAUUCAUUUUAUAACAUCCACUCCUUUAAUUUGUACAAUUACAAAUUCUCUAAAUAGAUUAUGAAUAUAUAGCAGUUUGUGAUAGGAUAAUAUGAAUUGGGGAUGAACUAAAUCAGAUACUAUACCGUAGAAAUGAAUCCAAGUUUUAUGAUCAUUGGCUGGUGAAGGCGAUAUUUUCUACCGAAGUUAAAGUCUCAAUAUAGAAUAUCAAAACCUUUGCAUUUUAGAUAGGUUUCCAAAACUAUAUUUGUUCCAAUCUUACUAAAGAAUGCAAGAACAGGAGGUCUACCCACGAUUCUUGAAGAUCUAAAACUUCAAGAAUGAAAGAAGAUUUAAAACCGUUAAAAAUGAAUGAGAAACUUGAGCAUAGAGAUUUAAUGGUGUAACUUUAGAAGUUCUACAAAAUCUACAAUGAAAAAAAUGUGAAAAUUAGAUGUAUUAAAUUACCAAACAUUGCAGGAAAUAAGUAAGCUCUCUAAUCCUAUUUCAGUAAUUUUCAAUAAAUGUGAUUCAAACACAUGUGAGGUUUACUUAAGAAACUAAACGUCUACGGCCACAAUUGAGAACCCAUAUUUAACCAAUUAUCAAAUAAUUAUAUUAGAUACUAAUGUAUACAUAAACAUUACAUUUACAAUUUUAAACUAAUAAUAAUUUUGCAUUAUUUAUUAGUAAAUAUAAAUAAUAUUUAAUUGUAUACAAAUUUUAUAGACAACCUAUUCACAAUAGACUAAGCCAUAUCAAUUAUAAUGUCAUGAUUUUUUUAUUGGAUUAUGUUAGUAUCUUAUUUGUUUUAAAAUCAUAACUUCUCAAUUAACCAUAUGCUUAAAAAGAAUGUUAACUAUUCAUNAUAUAUAUAACAAUAUUAAACUACAUAAUUAUUCCACUGUGCAACGCGUGGGUAUUCGCCUAGUAUACUUAUAAAAGAAGCAUUUUUUACUUGCACCACAUGCAUUUGAGACAUCCAUGACUUUUCAAUUUUUUGCUAAUAAUUAUUAUAAAUUGGUUAAUAGUGUUAAAUUAAUGCAAAAGCUAAAUACUAACCAUAAAUUAACUAAACUAGAAUCUUAAAAUAUCAUAUUUUUACUUCUAUUUAUAAAAUUAUGACUUUUAACUUUUUAACAUAUUAUAGUUAACUUAUUAGUUUAAAUAUGAUGUCGUAUGUGAGCAACUAUCAUUUUAAAGUAACACAUUUUGUAUAAUUUAUGAUUUUAUACAAAAAAGUUAAAUUAUUAAUUUCAAUAUAAUAUUGAACGGCUCUCAGUUAAACUUGAAAAAAAUUGAGAGAAUAUUUUAUAAAUAGUUAAAAGUUAUAAAUUAUAGCAUUAAACCUAAAUUGUAAUCCUAAAUUAACAAAUAAAAAACAUGAAACUAUUUUUAUAAUCAUUAAGAAUUUUUAAAUAAGUAGCUUAAAAAUAACUUACAAUAAAAAGAGUUAAUAGUAAUAUUAUAUAAAAUUUAUAAUAUUAUCUUUAAAUAUAAAAACAAUGUUUAUCAAAUAAGUUAUUUUAAAUAACUUACAACAACAAUAGUUAGUUAAAAGUAACAUUAUAUAUAAAAAAAUAAUAUUACUAUCUUUAAAAUCAAAAAUAAUGUUUGAUGUUUUAAAGAAUUGCAAUGAUAGAAAUUAAAAUAUUAAGAAAAUAAGCUUUUUAAAAUUAAUUAAUCAUAAAAUCAACUAGAAAUAUCAUUAAACCAUAUAUUAUAUUUAGUUUUAUUCAUGAAUAAACUCAUGGGUAAAGACCACUGAGACAUUUGGGAUUAUAAAUUUUUAAAAGAUGUCUACAUUAUCAUAUAAUUCAAAAUAAACAAUGUUUAUACCAACUUAUUAUAAGAUUUAUUAUAUAAGAGUUAACAACAACGUCAUUGAUAUAUUUAAAAAAUAUAUAUUUGUAAGGAUUUCAAAUAUAUUGUUGUAUUUUGCAUAACGCGUGAGUAUUCGUCUGGUAUCGUAUAAUAGAGUCAUAUUUUUAAGCACCACAUUGAUUUGAAGCUCCUAUUUUUUUUUUUGUAUUCUCAAAUGAAUUUUCAAAUGUCUAUUAAUAUUUAUAAGUAAUUGUUUUAGCAUUAAACAUCAAACAUACUAUAUAAACUCUUACAUGUAAGAAAUAUGGGAUGGAGUGUUUAAAUGAGUUCUACAAAUCAAGGUUGCUGUUGAAUGUAUCAGUUUUUUCUCAUAGUUUGAUAGUCAUAUAUAAUGUUUUCGAUAUGUUUAUGAAUGUCUAACAUGUUAGAUUUAUUUUCCAAUGGUGGUGUGUAAUUCAAGUGGUGGUUCGUAAUUUUCAAAGUUACAUGUGAGAACAUCAUCAUUAGCCUAUUUUUAUCUUUUCAUUUUUGUUCUAAAAUAUGUUUUGUUUUCUCUUAAUUUUUGUUUCUUUUUAUAUUUAUAGUUGUACAUGUAUAAAAGGUUGUUGUAAUUGCAAAUUGUAAUUGAUUAUAACAAUACAUGUUAAGUAUAUUGAUAUGCUCCAUAAUUUGUUUUAUAAAAGCUUAAUUUCAAAUCCAUGGAUAUAGCAUGUUGUGCAAAUCUUAUAUUGAGUGGCCUAAAAUGAGAGUUUUACUAACUUCACAAGUUUUAUUUCAAAAUUAGUAUAAUGUUAGGGAUAAUGACUUAUAUGGGUAAUUAUGUUUCAAGAUUGUUCAAAAAAUACCAUUCAAGUUUGGUGUGUCCAAAAAUCACCAUCCAAGUAAAGAAUUUGUACAAAAAACACCAACGAAGUACAUUCUUUGUUCAAAUUUGACCUUGUGUAACCGGCAAUUACCGGUAAAAAAUAAAUAAAGGAAAAAAAACAAGAGGAAAUGACUCAAAGAGGUAACUAUGUUUCAAAAUCGUUCAAGAAACACCAUCCAAGUUUGGUAUGUUCAAAAAACACCAUCCAAGUAAACUUUUUGUACAAAAAACACCAACAAACUAUAUGUUUUGUUCAAAUAUUACCCACCGGUAACUGGCUCUUACAUGUUAAAUGAUGACUAGGCUUAACUAUUAUGAUAUGGCAUAAUAAUUAUUGACAAAACAAUAACUAAUAUAUUCCUCCUUUAAAACUCGAUUUAGGGUUUCUUCAUGAACGAAUGACUUCUUCUUCUCCUAUGAUUGCUCUUCUUCUUCCAAAGUGAUGAUCUCGAAAUCAAGUCCAAAACCUAAUUCUUGACUAAAGGCAAAAAGGGAUCCUUUACCCCUCCUUUAAUGGGGCUCCCUCCCCCUAAGGCUCAAAUCCAUAAAAAGCCCCAAAGGGCAUCCAAGCCCAACUAUAAGGCCUCUAAGGCCCAAGAACCCCCAACAUGGUCUUAAGCCCAAAAAAUGACCUGCUACAAUCAGGUGGACCUAAGGACCAACUUAAACAAGUCCAUGCAUACGCCCAACAUAUGUUGAAGCCUUUGAGAUACGGAUUUCAAGCCAGUAUGCCUGACGUACUCCUAGCGUACCCCCAACAUACUUUACUAGGGUCAAGAACCACCAAUCUUCCGAAGGCCAUAACUUCUUCAUUCCAAGUCCGAUUUCGUCAUUCAUUAGACCCUCGGUAUGGUCAUCUGAUGCCUAAAUUAGCUCUCGUGGAUAUAAAGAAUGAUGAAAUCGCACUUAGAAUGAAGAAGUUAUGGCCUUUGGAAGAUUAGCGGUUUUUGACCCUAGUCGAGUACGCUAGGAGUACAACGGGCGUACUAGCUUGACAUCCAAAUCGUAGAGGCUUCAACGUAUGUUUGGCGUAUGCAUGGACUUGUUUAAGUUAGGCCUCAGGCCCACCUAAUUGUAGCAAGUCAUUUUUUGGGCUUAAGGCCAUGCUGGGGGUUCUUAGGCCAUAUUGGGCCUUAGAGGCCUUAUAGUUGGGCUUGGAUACCUUUUGGGGCUUUUUAUGAGUUUGGGCCUUAGGGGUAGAGAGGCCCAUUAAGGCAGGGGUAAAGGAGCCCUUUUUGUCUUAAGUCAAGAUUUAGGGUUUUGGACUUGAGUUCGAGAUCAUCACUUUAAAAGAAGAAGAGCAAUCAUAGGAGAAGAAGAAGUCAUUUGUUCAUGAAGAAACCCUAAAUCGAGUUUUAAAGGAGGAGUAUAUCUUUUAUAAUAAUUAUUAUGCCAUGUCAUAAUAGUUAAGCCAAAUCAUCAUUUAACAUGUAAGAGCCAGUUACCAGUGGGUAAUAUUUGAACAAAACAUAUAGUUUGUUGGUGUUUUUUGUACAAAAAGUUUACUUGGAUGGUGUUUUUUGAACAUACAAAACUUGGAUGUUGUUUUUUGAACGAUUUUGAAGCAUAGUUACCUCUUUGAGUCAUUUCCUCUUGUUUUUUUUCCUUUACUUGUUUUUUACCGGUAAUUGCCGGUUACCACAUGGCUAAAUUUGAACAACGAAUAUACUUCGUUGGUGUUUUUUGUACAAAUGUUUUACUUAGAUGGUGUUUUUUGAACACACUGAACUUGAAUGAUAUUUUUUAAACAAUUUUGAAACAUAGUUACUCAUAUAAGUCAUUUUCCCUUAAUGUUAUUAAUAAAAUUUUAUUGUACAUCUUAAAGGCAAUAACCAAUUAUAUAUUGAAUGGUCAUAUAAUUGUUGUAGGUGAAUAAUUCGACCUGAACCACUACCUACCUACCGAUUUAUCUUCCAUCUAUGCCUAAAACCUCUUAUUUGUUUUUUCGAAUAAUAAGACUAAAACCAUUAUUUACAUACCGAUCUACCUUUCGUCUACGUCAAAAAUCUGUCACUUGUCUUUUCAAGCAUUUAUAUAUUUACAUCAUAUCUAUCAUCUAAUUUUAAUUAUCAAAUGAUUUGUAACCCAAUAAUAUAAUAUAUCGGUAGAAAGGUGUGUUUUUAUUCAUAAAUUGAUGGUUUAAAUCUCACUUUAGACAAAGUAAAUAGUUUAAAAGUAUAAAAGAAAGUGUAUGCGAGUUUUCAUCGGCAGAUGACACCCUUGAACUUUUAGAAAUGAAACUUUCUAUCCUUCUAUUUUCUACAUACUUUGUAAAAUAAUAUUUGUCACCCUUCAACUUUUAAAAUGUCACUUUUACUUUUUUCAUUUUCUAAGCUUCUAUGUUUAUCCACCGUAUUAUAUAUUAUCUAAUUUUUAUCAAUAACAUUAGUUCGUUAGCUUAAAAAAAAUUUAAUUUUAUGCAUAUGCAGGUAUAAACUAAAGGUGGUCAAUAUUUCAACAUAAAUUUAGAACAUUCUUUAAUUUUUUCUUUUAAAAAAAAACUUGUUUUUUAUAUACAUCUUAGUGUAAAUUCAAGUUUGUAUAUGUUUUGAUGUAAUCUUUUUUUUUUUUCUAUUUCCAUUCUUAUUUUUAUAUAUGUUUCGUCACUUUCUACAUAUGAGUCUGAUAAGAUAUAAUAUAUUUAUUAUUAUUUGAACUUUCAUUUGUUAGCUUAGGAAAAAUAAGUUUACUUGCUUAUGUUAUAAAUUUAAGUUUCUUUAUGUUUCGGCGUAAAGUUUAUGUACGUUUUCAUGUUUAUUUUUAUAAAUGUUUCUUGGGUAUAAGUUUGGUCAUAUAUAAUACAUUUUCAUUUAAUGUUGUGAAAUUAUACAUUCUAGCCUUCUAUUUUGUAAAAUGUCACUUUCAAUACCUCGACUUAGAAUUUUCUUACAUGUCACUGUCAUUCUUUUAUUUUCUAAAGUUUCAUGUUUAAUCCUGGUAUAUAUAAUAUGAUUUUUCUACGGUUACAACCUAUCAACUUUGUCCAAUGCCAUUUUAAUCCCCUUGUAUUUAAACUUUUUAAAAUGUCAUUUUCACUCUUCAACUUUCUAAACAUCGUGUUUACCUUGUAUACCAUGAGUUUGUUAGGGAUACAGUGACUCUGUUUAUCUACCAACAAAAUGCAAUAAUACCUAACAUUUGUCAAUAAAAUUGUCAACAUUCAAUUUACAAAACAUAAUGACGUUGAUGCAACACAUGAAAGGCAAAAUAAUAGUUAUACUUUAGAUUAAUCUUUCUUUUACACUUUUAAUUUUAUACGAUUGUGACCAAUUUAUUUGUUCAAAAACUACAAACAUAAAAUAUUAUAAUAAAUAAAAGGGUAAAUUACAUAAACGGUCCCUAUGGUUUGUCAUUGUUUUCACACUUAGUCCAUGGUUUUUUUUUUUAACUUGAGCCAUCCAUGUUGUUUAGUUUUGUUUCUUUAGUCCCCGACUGAAAUUAUUGUUAUAACCUUUUCUUAUCUUCUUAACUUUUUUAAUAAUUGGUUUUAAAAUCUACCCUAAUAAAUAAGAAUGAUUUUGCCACAUGUCAUUUUGUCAUAAUUUAGAGAUAUAUUUAUUUUCCACUUGUUAUUUCUUUCAUUUUCCAUUUCUAAUAUAUUAUUAAUUAGUUUCCAUAAAUUAAACCUACCAUAAUGAUAUUAAUUUCAAAUUUUAAAUUUUAAAUUUCAAUUUCAAUUUCAAAUAAAUUUACAGUUUAAACCUUUGUGUUUAACAUUUUGUUAUAAUUAACCUGUUUAGUAUACGAGUCUGAUAACUAAACAAUAAUUUUAAUUUAUUUAUUUUUUGCAUGUUUUUUUCUCAUAAUUUUUAUUUAUUUCAAAUUUCAAAUUUAAAUAAACUUCUCAUUUAAUCGUUUCUAUUUAAUAUUUUGUUUUAAUCAACCCGUAUAAUAUACGGGUUUCACAACUAGUUUAUAAUAUAAUAGAGAAACUCUAGGAACUAUUUAUGCAAUUUACAUGGAUAAAGUAAUAAUAGCCCUAAAACCCGCACCAUUCAUUAAUUGACUCCCUAUAUUCCUUCACUGCUUCAAAAUUGAUUUUCGGUGUACCAAAUCCAUAAUUGUCGUCAAUGCUUGUUGAACCAAAAUUGAUUUUCGGUGUACCAAAUCCAUAAUUGUCGUCAAUGCUUGUUGAACCACAUCGCAGAAACCAAUUUCGUAUCACCACCGGUGAAGCAAACAAUUGAAAUCGACGGCGCAUUAGCUCCUUGUGAAGCCACUCUAUUUAAAAUCUCGUAAGUUAUAGCCAUCUUGUUCAAAAUCUCGAAUUCUCGAUUCAUCACCACUAACGAAGCUUCAAAAACCUCAUGAAUCUUUUGAUUUUUGUUUUCGUUUCAUACAUCAAGGUCCUAUACUAGAUUUUGAUUAUUAUUAGGAUGAAAUGAUGAUAUUGUUCUUUUUUGUAUAUAUCUUCUUAGAUCUAAAAUUAAUUUCAUAGAAACGCUUAAUCAUAACACCAAAAGGGCAUGUAUGAUGUUGUUCCAAUUCCUUAGAUUUUGGUUUGGAUUUUGUCUUGUUGUUCUUUGUUUUGUAAUAGAGGGGAAUUAGGAAAUGGAGUGAGGUUGGAUCCAUGAAUAUUUGGUUUGAUUUGGGUGUUCUAAAUAUGUACGUUCUCGGUUUUACGACUACUACGAAUUUCAUUUAGAUUACUUAAACUAAUAAGCCACAUAUCUAAAACAAACUUUUCCAAUACGCUGAGUCGAUCGGUUUAAACACAAAAACUUCAAAGAAGCAUAAAUUUUUCAUACAAAGUCGGAUUUAGGCUUUCUAUAUAUCUAAAGAAAACCAUAUUAACGUUUCAUACGUGUCUAUGAAAAUUAUUUUGGCUUAAGACUAAUAUAUUUUUAUUUCGUAUUUUAUAAUAAUUAUAGUCUAUGGUUAUGGUAAAAAUGGGGUGUUAAUAGAGUAGAAGUAUUCUUUAAAUUUUUAUGAUUUUUUGAAAAAAAAAAUUCUGGGAUUUUUUUUAAAAAUAAAUAUUUUUUUUUUUUCAAAAUUCCAUGAUUGUAGUCAUUUUGUAGAGAAUUAAAUUUUUAUAACUUUAGUUUUUUCAUAAUUUUUUUUCAAAGAAAAAAAAAUAUGGCGAACAAGCAAAUCGGAUGUAAGAAAGAACUCAACAACCAAUGAAAUGGGGACAUUUGACAAAAAGAGAAAAUGAGGGGGGACAACUACUCAUGAACAUGAGAUUUUUCUUCCUUUUUUUUUUGGUUUUCCUAUUUAACCUUUAUCGGAAAUUAUCAAUUUUCUCGCAUAUAAUUACCAAAACGCAGUAUCAUCUCGUGCUAUUUUGACGAUAAAUAAAAUCAAAACUCUAGAUUUUAUUUUUCAAUCUUACGAUUAAGAUUUGUCCUUACAGUCCUUAUCAAUUUUUGAGUGCUCAUCCGAUGCUAAUUCACUGAUAGAUAACAUACAAAACAUGAGAUCAACAUAAGGUGACACAACACAACCACCAUACUUGGGUCUAAAAGAAUGCAUACAAUUUCAUCAACCACAACAACUAGUCUAUUUCAGGUUAUGAUUAAUGUGAUACUAAUAUAUAGGAAUGCGAGAACAAGGGAUGUCCCACUUGUAUUCAGAAAGCAAGCUAAGAUUCAUCAGAAAAGUAAUUUGCUUUCAGACUAGAGGUAGCUAUUGCGGGCUCGAUCUAAGGUGGGAAGGGAUCGAGACCUUUCUCGCGAAGAUGGUCUUCUAUAAUUUAAAAAUCUCGACUUUAGAACAAAACUAUUUUCUUUCUUCCAUGCCGCCGUCAAAGACCCGGCUGUUUCUGAUAUAAAAGUUUUCUUUAAAAACAUAUUAAUAAAUAAAAAGAAAAGUGAGCUAUGUGAAAUUAACUAACCACUUUCAUUUUAUUAUAUAUGUUUAAUUAUUAUUUUUUUCAUAUUUUUUUAAUUUAAUUUCAUUUGUAAUUUAUUAUUUUCUUUUAUAUAUUAUACAUAAUAUAAUUAAUCUACUUUUAUUUAGGGUAAAUUAGAUGAACAAUCCAUGAGAUUUGUAGUAAUUUAUAUGGUUGAUCUUUUAACUCUUUAUUUUUUAAAACAUGAGUAUUUUUUAAAACAUGAGUAGUCUUCAAGUACAGUGGUAAAUUGGACAACUGUAUUAUGUUUUUGUUUGACAUGACAUAACAUGGGAAAGUUUUUUUGUAACACGAACACGAACAUGAACACGACAUGACAUGAUGUCGUGUUUCUUUUAACUAAUACGCAAACGAACCAAUUAAAAAGCAUCAAACACGAUACGACCCGACAAAUAUAACAUAAAAAUAACAAUUAGUUUAUUUAAUUAAUAUUUAAUUAUACUUAACACAAUAAACACGAAAAACACGACAAAUAAAUGCUAAAUCAUGUCGAAUUCUUGUCGAAUUUUGAACAUGAACACAACAUGACACGACAUCGUGUUUUUUAUACUUCACACAAUCACGACACAAAUAUGAAUUCAAAUUUCAGUUUCGUCCUAAUUUCAUUUCAUGUAUUUGUAUUUUUGUCGUGUGUUGUCAUGAAUUUUCACCAUUUUCUGCAAUAUAUGUUUUUGGUCCAUGUCAUACGUAAAAAGACUAGUUUACACUUAACAAUUUAUUUUUUAUAGUCUUUGAUUCAUUUUCUAUUUAUUAUGUUAACUUAUUGUACAUGUCACUUGUCCUAUGGUGUGAUGUGUCUCUAUUUUAAACCAUUAUUAAUUGCUUUUCCCUCUCAAUUUUUUUUACUUGCUUUGUUGAUUCUAAUCUUGAAACUAAUCAAACCCAACUGAUCAGGAACUGAUUUAUUUAUUUCCAUUCUAAAUCUGAUUCCUAAAAGUACUUUUUUUCUCUUCAAGUUUGUUAGAUUUGGGGUAUAGUAAGGCUUGGAAUUCUGAGAAUUGUGUAAAACACUUUCAGAUUAAAUGAUUUGGGUGGUACUCUCAAUAUUCUUUAAUCAGAUAAGAAUCAAAGAGACAAGAAUUUGGAAUGCUUUGAUGAUUAUUUCGUUUGUACCAUAAAAUGAGACCAAAACCGAAUUUAUGAUCUUUGUCUGAAAACUGUCAUAUGACAGUUUCAAACUGUCAUAAACUGUAAAAACUGACAUAAAACGGAAGUGUGGAUAAGGGUCAAACAAUGAUCAAUUCUCUGCCCCUUGGACCCCGCCAGGAGCUGCCGCCCCUUGGACCCCGCUCCCAGGGGCGCUACCCCCAGACCCCCGUUCGUUUAGGGCCUUCGUCCCUUAAUGACAGUGUACUUUGAAAACUUGAUCAAACUUAAACAAGUGUGUACUCCACACCUUCCUUACUUGUUUAAUAUUUAUCAAGAUCACCUUUGGUCAACAAUGUAAUCCCAUUACACUUAAAUAAUAUUGAUGACAACAAAUCACCAACAAAGUUUUCUAUCAACUACUAUUGUGGUUAUUCUAUUAUAUUUGAUCACAUGUAUACAUGAGGGUGAAGAGAUUUCUAGGUCUCAUUCUGUUGAGUACAAUCACAUUUGUUGGUUUUAUACACAAUUCAUCUAUAUAUUUGUUUUUUAGAAUGUGCCUGGAAGUUUGUUUUUGCGAUGAUCUAUCAUUUUUUUUACAUGUCUGAUCUAUCUUUAAUUUCCCUUUUUUGUUUCAUAGCUUUAGGAAUUGGGAUUUAAAUUUGAGUAAACUCAUCUUUUUUUUUUUUGCGGGAUUUUCGUUGCGCAAAACUUAUGAGUUUCUUGCUCAAUUUCAAGUCAUGUUUCAAUAGUUAGUAAUAUUUUUUUUGUACUUUUUUUUGGUUUUGAAUAUGUGUGUUAGGAAAAUGAACAACCAUAUAAAUUGCCCGAUAUACCACCGUACUUGAAGACUACUCAUGUUCAAAUAAAUAAAGAGUUAAAGAUCAACCAUAUAAAUUACUACAAAUAUUAGGGAUUGUUCAUGUAAUUUACCAUAAAUAAAAAUAGAUUAACUAUAUCAUAUAUAAUAUAUAAAGAAAAUAAUAAAUUACAAAUGAAAUUAAAUUAAAAAAUAUAUAUAUGAAAACAAAAUAAUACAUAAACAUAUAUAAUAUAAUAAAAGUGGUUAGUUAAUUUCACAAAGCUUACUUUUCUUUUUAUUUAUUAAUAUGUUUUUAAAGAAAACUUUUAUAUCAGAAACGGUCGGGCCUUUGACGGCGGCGUGGAAGAAAGAAAGUAGUUUUGUUCUAAAGUCGAGAUUUUUAAACUAUAGAAGACCAUCUUCGCGAGAAAGGUCUCCAUCCCUUCCCACUUUAGAUCGAGCCCGCAACAACUGCCUCUAGUCCGAAAGCAAAUUACUUUUCUGAUGAAUCUUAGCUUGCUUUCUGAAUACAAGUGGGACAUCCCUUGUUCUCGCAUUCCUAUAUAUUAGUAUCACAUAAAUCAUAACCUGAAAUAGACUAGUUGUUGUGGUUGACGAAAUUGUAAGCAUUCCUUUAGACCCAAGUUUGGUGCUGUGUUGUGCCAUGAACCAUAUUUGAUAAUAAUAUUAGGAAAUAUGUUAACAGUAUAAUCUCAUAGCCUUAAAGGAGUAGUAAUAUGAAAAGGCCAAUUAAUGUUGAACAUCGUAACAUGAAAAAAUUAACAUACAAAUUUAUAAAAGAUAAAAUUAGGUUUUUGAGAAAACUUUCAAUCUUAAGUUAUCCAAGUAAUCAACGUGAUGUGAUUAAACANUAUAUAUAUAUAUAUAUAUAUAUAUAUAUAUAUAUAUAUAUAUAUAUAUAUUAAAUGUGGACCAUACCAACAUCAAAAAUCAAAGUAUAUGUUCAAUCCUAGUGGUCCUAACGGUUAUAAAAGUAGUUUUCAACAAGCGAGCUUAAGAAUUUUUGGAAGUUGGAAUAUUAUUUGAAAAUGGAUGCUUUGUUUUGUUUUUAAUAAAAAAAACCUAUUGGAUGAGCCAUAUCAGAAGCAUUUACCAUAGUAGGAUUUAAUAAAUAGAAAUAAAGUUAGAUGUGACAAAGAUUGUGUGCUUCAUUGUCAAUCAAGGCAAGACUUUGAUCUCAUCCCAUAGUUUACAAAUAAUUUAUGGACUCUAUUAUCUUGUCAUGAUGUGAGCCCCUCUUAUCCUAAAAUUCUAGCUCCACCCCUAUAUCUUACAUUGUUAUCAAUAAUUCUGCAACCACAUUGUGGACAUUCCAUAUCUUCGACUUGAUGCAGUAAAGGAAGUCCAUCUGUUUUCACAUUCCUUAUGAUAGUUCUACCAUCAAGAAGCCAACUCUUGAAAUAAACAAAUGUCAGGCUGAAGUUGGUCACAAAGCAUAAUAUUCACAAGGUUAACAUUAUUAUAGUUGGAGUUGUCACAAAUUUUAAGGAAAAUGACUUAUGAUUUUAACCAACUGUACAUUUUGCUUGCAUUUUGUAACUUUCGUUUUUUUUUUUUUUUAUUUUUUUUUUUUUUUUUUUUUUUUUUUUUGUGUACUUCAUUUACCAAUUAAAUUUGUCGUAGGUGUUUAUAAAAACCAUUACAACUUGUUAUUGAAGUUUUCCAACGGCUUUUUCAUCUCUGACGACUCUCUGGUCGUCUUCUCCAGCGAGUCUCGGACCAAUAUGAGUUUUCCGACGAUUCACCACCUUGAACUAUCACUAUCUUAAUCACGUGAAGCUGAACACCACCCAUUACACCUUCUUCACCUUCUCAGGAUAUUUUUCUUCAUCAUAACAACAUGAAUUUCCGACGAAAACUAGAACACGUGAACUCAAAACAAAUCAGAUUUUUUCAAGUUUCGAUUUGUAACAUGACAAAGGUUUCGAUUUUGAAGAACAGUAACAAUGAAGCCAGAUUUUUUUUUCAGGUUUUGAUAUGGAAUGUGUUCUUCGUGUGUUUUCUUAAGAUCUGGAAAAAAUAUCUCGAAUAUGCUCUUUAUUUUUCGAUUUCGAUCUUGGAUUUGAAUCUCGAUUUUGGAUCUUGGAUUUUGAAACUCGAUUUUGGAUAUGGAAUUUGUUCUUUAGAUUUGGAAAAUGUUGAAAAUGGUGGUUUUGGACGGCGUUUUCAUGUUGAUUUUGUAUAUAUAAAAUGCAGGGGAAGAUGAUGACAUAUGGGAAGAUGGCAGUGAGUUGUGAUGAUGCUCGACUGUAACACUGUAACAGGAGGUGGUGAUGGAUGAGUGCUUCAUGGUGGAGCUUGCAAAUUCAUGGUUUUGAAAUCGCCGGAAAAUUUAUGUUGGCUGGAGGCUCUUUGGAGAAGACGACUGGAGAGUCGUCGGAAACCAUCAUUGUAAUGGUUUUUGUAAACACGUACAACAAGUUAAAUGGUAAAAUAAAAAAAAAUGACCACAUACAAACAAAAUGAAGAAUUGGUUACCCUUAUAACUCAUUUAUACUAAAUUUUAGGACACAUAACUCGUUUGGCAAUGUUACUAAUUGGGCUCCAAGAUAUCAAUAUGUUCACUUUUACAAUAAAUAGAGUGUUAUGUGUGUUCUUUUUAAUCAUAAAGCAGACAAAAUAGACAUUUUUCACCUACUUUCUUACAAAAUGACAAAAACACCAAAAUAGACAUUUUUCACCUACUUUCUUACAAAAGGACAAAAACACCAUCAAGCUGAUAACAAAGUAAUAUUAUACAUGAUCGAAGAAGAUCUUAGAGCAUCUCCAAUGGUUAAGCUAUUUAUAGUUUAAAGUUAUUGCCACAUCACUAUUCUAUUAAUUUUAACCUCUAAAUAAACGGUCUCUCACAUGGUUAAACUCUUCAAAGAGUUUUUUCUUUAAAUUUAAUUAAUCUAUCAUUAUCUAUUUAAAAUUUUCUAUACAACCCCCUCCAUUUAGUUAGUCAUUUUUAACACGUUAUAUUUAAAUAUAAACUAUCUAGUUAAUAUUAUCGUUAUAUUUAUAUUUGUUAAGUAAAAUAUCACUAAAUAUUUGGUAGAAUUAGUUAACUAGUAAACAAAUAAAUAAAUUGAAAGCUAAAAUAAAAAUAAGGAUUAAAUUAAAAUAUGAUUAGAAGAUGAGAGGAUAAAAUGUACAAAUGGUUAAAAAUAUAUUGAAUGGUCAAUAAAAAUAAGAAAAAAAGUCAUUUGCUCCGAUGAGAAUAAAUGCUCCUAAUAAUUAGUCAAUCACUACAAGAAACCUUAGCAUUACCGGCGACGCCUUUAGCGGCGACAUGGGUCAAUAGUGACGACAUGUAAUUGACGCGAUACAUGUCGCCGCUAUUGACCAAUGUCGCCGCUAAAGGCAUCGCCGCUAAUACUCAAAAACGGCGAUCCGCGUCAACUUACCCCCAUCCGUCCGAUUUGUUUUCAAUCCAACGGCUAUAGAGGAAAGCGAAAACGUGCUGACUUUUCCCUCCAUGGUGUCGCCGCUAUUGCCCUAUUGUCGCCGCUAAUACCCUAGCGUCGCCGCUAUUUCCUAUCGCCGCUAAUACCAAGCGCAGAUAACGCCCUCAUCCAGUUCCCUUUUCUGCGACAUUUGUGUUGUUUCUUUCUUCUCUCGCUCUCAUUUCUUCUUCUGCUUCUCAAAAAAAAAUUGGACCAGUCGAUUAGUGGAGGAACAACAUUUAAGGCGGUGCUAGCCCUCCUGCCACCACAAGACCGCCACUCCUUCCCCCCGUUACCGGCUACCAUUGAGCUGAUUUCCAAAAUUGCCCACAUCUAAGGUCAAAUUCCUCCUAUUUGCUAUCAUUUUUCUAUUUUGGAUGAUCAAUUGGUUUGAUUAUGUCGGAAAUUGCCUCUUCAAUUGGUGUUAUAUUACUGAUAAACACAAGACCCAUUCGUAUUUUUUUUCUUGCUUAGUAUCUAUUCAUUGAUGUAUAAAUUGAUGCUAUAUGUGGGUAAUUGCCUCUUGAAUUGUUAUUAGAUCAUCUAUAAACACAAGAACAUUAGUAUCUGUUUAUGAUUUUUAUUAUUUUUUAAAAAUACAGAAUGCUUUACUCGAGGAGAUAAAGCAACGAACCCAAGCUACUUCUGAGGCAAGCGGUCUAACACCAACUUAUAUAAAAGAUUGUUUUGAAAGAAUAUUGGGUGUUCGACGCGGACAUAUCAGAGGCAUUGGGCGUAAACCCCCUACAGUUGUGUCCAUGUACGAUCAGGAACAACCAAUGACACAAGAACUGUUGGGUUUUGAGCAUUCUAACACUCCUAAGUGUACAUGCAACCCUAAAUACCUUGGAUCUAUGUUUUCUCUAUUAUACAUGCAAAUAUAAACUUCCAAGGUAUUAUCCUAAUCUAGCAUACAAAACAAUGAAUAUAACAAGAUAGAAUACAUACCUCUUUGAUGUAGAAAGUCUUCAUGAAGCUUGAGUGCCUAGUGCCCUAAGUGUGACACCUCAAAUGGUUCACACAACACCAAAUACACUUGGAAUAACUUGAGAGAAACUUGAACACUCCUUGAAAUUGUCUAGCCCUCACACUCACACAUAGUGCACGAUUUCUUGAGCCAUGGGAUUCUUUUAUAUGGUGGCUAUUAGGGUUACACCAUGUAACUCAUGACUUUACCCAUUCCUUAUGCUCCAUGGAUUUUAACCUCCAUGUAGCAUCCAUGGGUCACCCCAUGGACUUAGUCCAACAUAAGGAAUCUUGGAUCACAAGCCCACAUAUAUAAGAAUGAAUGAUUUACACAAUCAACCCAUAUAUUUAAUUAGUCUCCUUUUGAUCACUUAAUUAAUUCCAAAUUAAUUCUUGAUCAAUACUAAUUAAAUAACCUUAUUAAUAUAUUAGAACUUAUAAUAUAUUAACAAACCUUAAGUGUUAUUUCUCUCAUUUUAGUCUAUCCAAAUGCAUGAUGCCAUGCAACCCAAAUGGACCAUGCCGGGUUGGGCCAAGUCUUACCAAUUAUAGUUAUGGACUUAGACAUUAAUCCAACAAGAACAACCACAAUCACAGGUAAUUGUUAGUAAAUGCUAUAAUGGAAAGUAGAUGUAUGUUUAAGUGUAUUUGAUAUGUUGAUAUUUUGAUAUUUUGUAGAAUGGUAUAAUUAAUUAUAAUGUUAUUCUGAUAUGUUGUUAAUAUAUUUUGUUUUCUUUAUAGUUGGAAAUGCUGCAAACAAUACUAAAGGACCCGGCCUGUUCUGCAGCAUUGGAAGAGUGGUUUCGCUCAUUGCCGCCACCAAAUAAUGAAUGAAAUGAUGAUGCGAUCGACUAGUUACUUUAGGAUUUUAUGAAAUAUUUUGUAAUUUGGAAGAAUAUUUAAUGUGGUAUGGAUUAUAUUUUGGAUUGAUUGUAUAAUAUGUAUUGAUAUUUUUAUAAAAACUUAUAAGAUUUUUCAAAUGCUAUAUGGAUUAAUAUUUGGAGUGAUUAUAAAUUUAAUGUUAAAUAAAUAAAUUAAAAAAAAUUAAAAAAUCAAAAGAGUAUUAGCGGCGACAUCUUUUGUGGCGACAAAUACUUAUUAGCGGCAACAAUGUAUUAGCAGGGACGCGUAGCAUCAGCGACGACACGUAGUAUUAGCGGCGACAGUAAGUAUUAGCUGCGACAAGAAGCGUAUUAGCGACGAACCAAUACCGGCGACGCGUUUGCAGCGACGUGUCACCGCUAAAGGUAUUAGCGGCGACGCGCCUAACCUUUAGCGGCGACAAUGGUCGCCGCUAUUGUCCAAUCUUCUUGUAGCGAAUAGUAAUAACCUAUAAAAAAAAGUUCGCUCACAUCAAAUAAGCCUAAAAAAAACAUUCCUGAGAUGAUUAUCGAAGAAAAAGAAGUGACGCAACCCCAAAAAAUUGUUUUGAAAUUUUUUACUUUCCAUUUUUUAGUGGCUUCAUUGUAGUAAAUCUCAACAUGCACUCAUGCAUGUACGUAAAGGAGAUAUAGAUAAUCACAAAUAUAUUUACUUUUCGUUUUGAACUCUUGGUAUAUUUGGGGGGAACCGGUGCCACACACCAUCAAGUCUUUAAAAAGAAGAGAUGAUGGGCAAAGAAAAAGAAAUGCAAAAUAUGACCAUCAAAAGAGUUUUAUGUAAUUUACUCAUUAUUUUAGUAAUGAAUAUAAAGGAACUCAACACCCAGAUAAAGUGAAAUACACAGCUGCAUUUUCGCUUAUCAAUUNNNNNNNNNNNNNNNNNNNNNNNNNNNNNNNNNNNNNNNNNNNNNNNNNNNNNNNNNNNNNNNNNNNNNNNNNNNNNNNNNNNNNNNNNNNNNNNNNNNNNNNNNNNNNNNNNNNNNNNNNNNNNNNNNNNNNNNNNNNNNNNNNNNNNNNNNNNNNNNNNNNNNNNNNNNNNNNNNNNNNNNNNNNNNNNNNNNNNNNNNNNNNNNNNNNNNNNNNNNNNNNNNNNNNNNNNNNNNNNNNNNNNAGGGGCCGAAAUCAAAACUUUAUAGCAGAACAAUAUAAAAAAGUAUAAUUGGUUCAUUUUUAUGACAUCAAAAUUUUGAACUAAGCAUGAGGAUAUUUUCAUCGGAAACAAUUUCUAGUGCUUUUUGGAUGUAUUUUCAUCGAAAACAAUCACUAAUGUUUUUUCGAAAUAAAAUAUCUGUAUGUUUUCUUUUAACAAAUCUCUCACGAUCGGAUUUUUUUUUUUUUUUUUUUUUUAAAUUUUGGUAUACACUGAAAAUUACUAAAUUAAAAUCAAUAAAUAACAAAAUAAAAUAACAACCAGUAAAUAUAUCUUAGCAAACACCCAAAUCUUUAACAAAACUACAAUUUGUACCGACAAGAUGAAAAACAAAUUAAGAGAUGAUGAAUAUAUUUUAGCAUAUAAUACAUUUAUACAUUUUAGUUUAUGAGUUUCUUUUACAUUUCGCUGGUUAUGAGAGUACGUAAGAAAAUGGAAAUAUUAAUAAAAUGAUUAGGAUUUGUAUUCGGCACAACUUUUAAAGUGUACUCACUGUAAAAUAAAGAUCUUCAAAAUCUCGUAUAGUCAUAUUCACAGUAAUAGAGUUAUCACUAUUUCUAUAUACCAAUUAUAAAAAUAUAAAGAAAGUGAGAAAGAAUAAAAGAAGCAAAUAAAGAUAUAGAGUACGUACAAUAUACAUAUGACGGAGAGGAAACCCUUGACGGAGAUCGGCAACCGGCAAGAGUGCACGACGGAGUAACUAGUAAGGCGAGGUCGCGACCAGAAGAGAGGAGAGAGGUAGUGCAUGCAUCAGACGACCUGUGGAGGAGGCGUGGACUCCGGCGACAUAUUCAAUCGGCUUUGAGAUUUGGAGGGAAUAAGUUUUUCAACUCAAACUAAGUUGAAAAUUGGAUUAGAUUUUGAGUUUUGUAUACCGAGAUUAAGAGGAGUUUCCUGGUUUAUUUGUCUAAUAGAAACAAGUUUGGUUUCGAUUUUUGAAAUUUUCAGUGAUUUUCGGAAGUUUCAUUGAUUAUUGAGGGAUAAUUAGUAAAUUACUCCUCUUAACUANNNNNNNNNNNNNNNNNNNNNNNNNNNNNNNNNNNNNNNNNNNNNNNNNNNNNNNNNNNNNNNNNNNNNNNNNNNNNNNNNNNNNNNNNNNNNNNNNNNNNNNNNNNNNNNNNNNNNNNNNNNNNNNNNNNNNNNNNNNNNNNNNNNNNNNNNNNNNNNNNNNNNNNNNNNNNNNNNNNNNNNNNNNNNNNNNNNNNNNNNNNNNNNNNNNUGGACGAAUCAAUUUAAUUAUUUUAAUAAAGUAAUUAAUGUAAUUACAUGUUAAAUAUUACAUGUUGAUUCAUAAUAAAGUAAUUAAUGUAUACUACAUGUUAAAUAUAUAAUUAGUAUUAAUUAAAUAUUCAACAUUCAAUAUUCAUUAAUUACUUUUUAAAAUAACUAAAAUGAUUGGUCCAUAAUUAAUCCUACAUGUAAAUAAUAGAUACUAAAAACAUUUGAACCUAACUCUUUUUCUCUCUAUAUCUCUCUCUUUAUCUCUCUCUCUUUAUAUAUAUAUAUAUAUAUAUAUAUAUAUAUAUAUAUAAAUAUAUAUACAUAUAUAUANNNCUAUUUAUUAUGUACAUGUAUAAUCAACUUUGGACAAAUCAAUUUAAUUAUUUUAAUAAAGUAAUUAAUGUAUAUUACAUGUUAAAUAUAUAAUGAGUAUUAAUUAAAUCUUCAGCAUUCAAUAUGCAUUAAUUACUUUUUAAAAUAACUAAAAUGAUUGGUCCAUAAUCAAUCCUACAUGCAUACAAUAGAUACUAAAAACAUUUGAACCUAACUCUCUUUCUUUCUCUCUCUCUCUCUCUCUCUCUCUCUNNNNNNNNNNNNNNNNNNNNNNNNNNNNNNNNNNNNNNNNNNNNNNNNNNNNNNNNNNNNNNNNNNNNNNNNNNNNNNNNNNNNNNNNNNNNNNNNNNNNNNNNNNNNNNNNNNNNNNNNNNNNNNNNNNNNNNNNNNNNNNNNNNNNNNNNNNNNNNNNNNNNNNNNNNNNNNNNNNNNNNNNNNNNNNNNNNNNNNNNNNNNNNNNNNNNNNNNNNNNNNNNNNNNNNNNNNNNNNNNNNNNNNNNNNNNNNNNNNNNNNNNNNNNNNNNNNNNNNNNNNNNNNNNNNNNNNNNNNNNNNNNNNNNNNNNNNNNNNNNNNNNNNNNNNNNNNNNNNNNNNNNNNNNNNNNNNNNNNNNNNNNNNNNNNNNNNNNNAGCAACCAUGUCAUACAUACAAUAUUUUUUUUCUUUAUAUUAAAUUAUUAUCCGUAGUGUGUUAUAAUAAAUUGUCACGUACUUCUCUUUCAAAAAAAAAAAAAAUUGCCACGUACCAAAAAAAAAAGACUAAUCAUGAAAUACAGAUCUUUCUUUCUUUUUAUUCUGUUAUUAUCAAUAGAUUUCAAAUAUAAAUUGACAUGUACAAAAUACAAAAUUUAUUAUAUUUUGGGGGCCGGAAAUAUAAUAUGCAUAAAAAUCGGUAAACAGGGGCCUUAACCAAAAUUUUAUAAUUUUAUUUAUUCGUGCUAUGAGUGGAAUAACGGAUUCCAUAUAUCAGCCAUUUUUGAUGAUGUGGUCAGAAGGUAUUUUUUUUUUUUGGGUGGAGGGGUUCAGAUAGAUGUAGCAAAGUUAAAAUAGGUUGGACCUCGUGACUUCAUAAUCAUGUUAUUGCUUGUAAUUUGUUGUAAUGUUCUUUUUCAAGNNNNNNNNNNNNNNNNNNNNNNNNNNNNNNNNNNNNNNNNNNNNNNNNNNNNNNNNNNNNNNNNNNNNNUAUAUAUAUAUAUAUAUUUUAAUCCCUUUAUUUCAUGUUUUUUCACUUAUAGGUUUAACUUGCAUUAUCCUUACGUCCUAGGUGCAUCAAAAAUCUCAUGGCAUUGAGGUAGAUUUCAAUAUACAUGCCUAAUCUCAUCUUUAGGUCAUAUUUCUUAUACCCUUCGCCCAUGCCACUAUUUAUUCUCAUCAUUUAAAUGUUAGUUUUAUCAGGGAUCUUUGUUCAAGUUGAUGACGUUUGGAAUAACUACUUUCACCAAGAGGGUUUCAAUCAAGGGAAGGCCAGAGGGGGCUAGGGCCUCGAGGUUUGUUCAGCAGGGUCGUCAAAGACAGAUUGGCUGGGGUCAUUGGUUAUAAAAAAUAGCAUUCUACUUUGAAGUUUCUACUUUAGAACUCUCGUUUAGCUAACAAUUAUAGUGUUGAUCUUAUAUGAGUCAUCUAUUUCUUUAUAUCAUGAUGCCUUGUUUGAGUUUACUAAUUGGUCAAGUCCUGUCAAUGAUGGAAAUUCGAUCUAUCGAAUUAUCAUGAUUCGUUUUCUUGAUGUUUCGGUUACUAUCAAUCUGGUCAUUAUACUUUAACCAUUUUCAUUGAAACGAAAAAUUAAUUUACUCAUCAUUAUCACCUAUUUCUCAAAUGAAACUUGAACUCAUGACUUCUUUAUUGAGAUGGUCUUUCUUAUCAUUAGGCAAAAGGCCCUCUAUAUGCUUUAAUCGAUUGGUAAACAAAAUACAACUUUUAACAAUCAUUUCUAAUUUAAAUUUUUUUCUAACAAAAAAAUAUCUUCUUUAGAAAAAUAAAAAUAAAAAACAAAAAAGUUGUUAUUGUGACUUUAUCAGAAGAAUAUAUCAAUAUCUGGUGGCUUGAACUUACAACAGAAUGUCAUGGUGGUAAUGUUGGAAUUUUUUUACAAACAUGAUGGUUUUUAUUAAAACAAAAAAAACAAAACAAAACAAAAUAAAAUGUGAUGCUUUAACCAGAUUUUGGUCAUACUACAUUGAUUUAUGGGUUAUUUGCCCUUUAAAGUAUUACAUUACAAAAAUGGUUCUUAUAAAAAAAAUAUCUUGAAUUAUAUUUAACUUAAUAACACGGACGGCAAACAUGAUACAUAAAUAUCAAACUUAUAUGUCAGUUUUACCUUUUUCGUUUUCGUUAUUUUAGCCGGCAAUUUCCCUUCAUAAAAGGGGAUAUAACAUCGAAAUAAUGUUCAUUCUCUUUGGUUUAGCCGGAUAUUUCUUUUUGUAAUAGAGCUAUAACGUUGAAACUAAGGGUAUUUUAGUAAAUUUAAUUCUAGUAGUAUUUUCUAAUUGUCUUAUUUCACGUACGCUUUCAAAUUUCAUAGAUUGUUACAACUCGCAUGACCAAGUCAUACCUUUGUCUUAUAUUUAAUCGAUGUUUAUAAAUGACGCAUAAGUUCCACUUAUCAUUCUCAUGACUACUAAUCUCAAUCUGAUGGAGAAAACGUCAGCAAUUUUUGUAUUCCUUUUCGUGGGAACUUUUGUCACCGUUUUUCAAGUUUCAGAUGCCACAGAGACUUCCAAUGCAAUUUUCAUAUUUGGUGACUCAACGGCUGAUGUGGGAACAAACUCUUUCUUGCCCAUGGCCAAAAUACGUGCCGAUUUUCCUCACAAUGGGAUUGAUUUUCUCAAUUCAAGACCCACGGGACGCUUUAGCAACGGUUUCAAUAGCGCCGAUUUUCUAUGUUAGUAUUUUUGAUGAUAAUAUUCUAUAUUCUCUAACAUGUUCUUUUAAAACAUUCAAUAUAUAGAUGUACUCAUAUUUGAAAUGAUACUAGUAAGAUAUUCUUUAGCAACUAUCAAACCACAUCACCUUAUAUGUUUUGUUUGCGUUUGGGUUGAUUUUAGCUAAGCUAAUGGGGCGUCAAAGAAGCCCACAACCAUACUUGUUUCUUCAAAAAGCGGGACUCACGAACCGAAUGUUCAGUGGCGUAAAUUUCGCCUCUGGAGCAUCCGGUCUUCUAGAUGUCACAGGAAAAGAUUUGGUAAGUGUGUUAACAAUUUUCAUAAUGUAUAACCAUUCAUUUACUGAAUCGUUAUACUGUUAGGUGAUGCGGUCAAGUUCACAUGACCGCAUGUAUACUUCAUUUUUUUGUCAUUCUCUAAUAUAUAUAUGAUCAAAAUGUGAGCAGAACAUUGUAUCUAUGUCCGAUCAAAUCAAACAAUUUGAGACUGUGUGUAGCAAUCUAACAUUAGUAAAGGGUCAAGAUGCGGCAAAGAACAUGCUAGCCAAAUCCAUGAUCGCUAUCAGUGUCGGUAGCAAUGACAUUUUCGGCUAUUUUGAAACCCGAAGCACGGUUGAUCCUGUUGUUUUCAUUGGUUCUUUAAUGGCAGCAUACGAGUGUCACAUAAAUGUAAGUAUUUACAAAGCAUUCUAACCAUAACAUCAUUACGUAACACAAAUAAAUGUAUUCAGCAAAGCACUAAUUCAAACAAAAAAUGAUUAAAUACAAGGCAUUGUACAACCUCGGAGCAAGGAAAUUCGGGAUUAUAAGUGUACCACCAAUCGGAUGUUGCCCAUCACAGAGAAUUUACAAUUCCACCGGUGGAUGUUUGGAGAUUGAAAAUACUUUUGCUCGAGCUUUUCAUUCAUCGCUUGAUGCCCUCUUAAAGAAACUCACAUCUAAGUUGUCAGGAUUGAAGUAUUCACUAGGAAAUUCAUACGAAAUGACAAUAAAUGUUAUCAAUCAUCCACAACUCUUCAGUAAGUACAAACAUAACCCAUUGUCUAAAAACACCAUGGAGACUUUCCAUGACAAAAAAACAUAUACAUUUAACGAAUGUUGAUUUUAGUAAAUUUAUUUAUUUAUUUAUUUUGUAGAUUUCAAAUCAGUUGACACGGCAUGUUGUGGAGAAGGGUUGUUGAAUGCAGAAAAGACUUGCACUCCGCAAGCAAAAUUAUGUUCGGAUCGAGACAAGUACCUAUUUUGGGACUUGUACCAUCCGACGCAAUAUGCUUCCGAGCUUGCAGCUACGACUUUAUACAACGGUGGACCGCAAUUUGUGACCCCAAUUAAUUUUGCUCAGUUAGCUGCUUAUUGAUUAGUUAGUUACAUGGCAGUCUUAGUUAACUUUAUGUGACAGAAUAUUUGCAACUAAAUCAAACGACUUAUGAUCAUAUGUUCCUAUAAGUGAACUAUGUUCGUAUUUUAUUAUUGUCUCAAACCAAUUGUGAUUGAUUUAAUUUCAAUUUUAACACACACACACAAACAAACAAACAUACUAAUUGCUACCUCUCGUCUUCACAUUCUCUACAUGGACUUGGUUGCACCACCGUUGUCACUAGAGCUGGUAAUGGGUCGAUAUGGGUUGUGUUCGGGCUCAACUCAUUUAUUAAUUGGGAUGGAAAUUUCAACCCAACCCAACCUGUAUAUAAGUAUAUUUAAAUGAGUUGAUAUUUCCAACCCAACCCAACAUUUCAGAUAAUUGGGUUGUCACCGAGUUGACCCAUUUAUAUAGUUCCCAACUCAACCAAUAAAUUGGUUAAGUUUGGAUUGACUCAUUUAAAAUAAAAAUAAGUAAAUAAAUUAACUAAAGAUUAUACCACUUAAAGUAGUUACAGACUUAAAUAAAAUUUCAAAAUAUGACAAAAACACAAUCCCAAUUCACAUAUACAAAUAAAAUUUUCAAAUAACAUUAAAGUUAUGUAAUUUGUAAGUGAUUUUUUAGAGUGGCUGGUGUUGUGGGUGUCAAGAAAAAAGUUAGGAACUAGGAUUCUAUUUUUUUAAAACAUAAAUAAUAAUACGAAUAUUGUAAUUUAUAAACUAAUACUUAGAUUAAUGCAUGAUAAUAUUUAAAUAAUUAUUAAAUUAAAUAUAAAUUAAAGUUAAAUGGGUUGAUGAGUUAAAAACGGGUUGAUACUUUUUACCCAACCGAACCUAUUUAAUUAAAUGGUAAAUUUCGAUCAAUUAUCACUUUGGAUUCGUUGCACAGUCAGUUUGACGAAAAAAUCAAUUCCUUUGAUAAAAUUGAUAAGUUCUGAGGCUGUUUCUGACUUGAGCCUAAGGAUGAAGACCCAGGUGAGCCUUAUAAAAUCAUCUACAAUCACAAGAAUGUAUUUCUUGUUAUGCAAACUCUCUACAGUGGAGGAUCCACAUAGAUCUAUAUGAAGUAGUUCUAACGGUUCCAAGAUUAACUUUUUAAUGAUGAUAGGAUGAACUUUCUUUGAUUGCUUCCCACAUUCACAGGAAACACAUAGAUGGUGGUUUUCAAACUUGAGGAGAGGUAAACCUCUGACCAUUUCAAUAGAAACAAGAUCAUUCAUAUAUCAAAAAUUUAGAUGAGCAAGCCUUCGAUGCCAUAACCAACUGACAUCAUUAAUUGCUUUUGAGAGAAGACAGAGUUAGGGCUUGCCAAUGAUCAUGUUGAUGUCAAGAGGGUACAUGUUCUUGUUGUGAUUUGACAUGAUCAUACAUUCUUUCCGGUCUUUGGACAUAACAUAGUUGUGUUUCUUUCAGAAUUCAACUCGUCGAUUUGCAUCAGUAAGUUGAGCCACACUUAUUAGAUUAUGCUUCAGAUGAGCUACAUAUGCCCUGUUUGAUACGAAGAAGUUUCCAUUGGUGAGGAUACCAUAACCUCAAAUUUGAGAGUUGGAGUUGUUGUUAUACGUCAUAUAGCCAUCAUUUGGUGAAAGUUUGAGAUCUCGCAGAAAGUCUUUUUGCUCCAUCAUGUGAAUGGAACAAGCACAAUUAAUAUACCAUAUUGUAUCUUAUUCCGAAGAAUAGAGUGCCUGUAAGGAUUAGUGAAGUUUGGAGUUUUUAUGCUCCGAGUUAAAUUUUGGGACUUGGGCAUGGGCUUUGGACUUUGGUAGUGACUUUUGAGCAACAGGUAUCUCAGAAGGCUUGUUCCAAGAACCUUUAGGAAAGAAGCAAAAUGCUAAGGUCUUUUCGUUAAUCCAGAAAUCAUAUUAAACAGUAGGUUGUUUCGGAAUAACUUUUCUCUGACUAACUGUUUUUGAAUCUGUAGGAAUUUCAGUGUUACUUGAGGUUGCAAAAUAUUUUUCAACCUUCUUAGCUCUCCACUCAAAUUUUUGGUUUGAAUUUUUAGGAAAAGGUUGAGUAAAGGUGUUUUUGACCAAACGUUUUUUCCUUACAAUUUUUGAUGGUGCAUUUUGUUUUGAAAGCUGUUGAGGUUUAAAAAUUGUACCAUCAGAUUUAGCAAUGAAAACAGAGGAAACAGUCCGAGGAGAGUUAUUUCUUGUGGGACAAAUAUCAACAAUCUUUUUCGGAAUGCGACUAACAACUUUGUUGUGAACAACCGGAGUAGGAUAGAUUGAUGGGCUUUUGAGGAUUUUAACAAGCGUAGAUGUUUUAUGGUUCCUAGGUUCCGAGUUCAUACUCCAAGAUGCUUUCUUCUUAAAGUUCUCAAUGAAUCUGGAAUUCUUUCUAGACCUAAUUUCCAUUUUGAGAGCAUUUUUGGCUUCUAGCUUAGGAUCAACGACAUCUUUUCUAUUUAGUGAAGGUUUCUUCCUGGAGUCAGAUGUUGACUUGGAAGUUUGGCCAAAACAUGGGUUGUUAAACUUGGGUUUGAUUGGCACUAAAGUGGUUUUGGAAAUCACUUGAGAGUCUGAAACAUAUGAGUCAGAUGAAUUAUCACUUAUGGUUUCUACAUCAACGACAUCAUCUAAGGAUGCCCAAACAAAGUUUGGCUUUUUAGAGUUAGUUCCAGUUGUCUCCGGAAUAAUUUCCUCAACAAGGUAAUUGUUAGGAGGACUGUGGUUCGGAAUGUGAACUAUAGUAUUGGAAAUGUUGGGAGAAGAUUUCAAGGUCUGAUUCAGGUCCAGGGGUAUCAGAGGCGGAAUAGGCGUGGAAUCAAGACACUUGAAAACUAUUGGUUGGAACUCAGGAAUCAAAGAAGAAAAACUAUCGAUGGUCUCAUGAAGGGGUGACAAAGGUGAGACAGGGGUAUCCGAAUGUUUGUGGUUCGGAAUUUCCCCCAUAAAGUUAGAUUCUGUAACUCCUUCAAGGGACGAGCAUUAGGUUUCGGAAACUCACUUCUUAGACCAGGUGCUUUAGACCAAGGAUGACAAAAAUUGUGAUUCAUCAUUUCGUUUCUUCAAGAACAUCUAUGGAAUUAUGCAAAUCAUCUAUUUUGGCAUUAAGACGUUUUUUAUCAGAAAUUUCAAGAACAUCUAUGGAAUUAUGCAAACCAUCUAUUUUGGCAUUCAGACGUUUUUUUUUUAUCAGAAAUCAAGACAUUUCUUUCAAAAUAAGUGAUUUCACAUUUGUCUUUAAGAAUGAUACAUUCAUCUUUUGACAUUACAAGUUCAUGUUUUAAAGAUUUUAUUUAAGCUUCUUAUCCUUGAAACGUAAUUUAAGACAACUUAAUUCACUCUCCAUUUUCUCACUGGCUUCUAUGGAAGACUCAUAGGCUUUGUAAAUGAUGUUCAUAUCUAAUUGGAUAUGGGUUAGAUAUGGUUCACAAAGAGAUAAAUCAAAAUUAUUAUCAGUAAUCAUAGUUUUUACCCGUUGAAUGAUGCUUUUUCCGGGUGGGUCGUUGGUUGCCAUGUAGCAAUAGUUUGGUUCAGCAUCAUCAUCAUCUUCCUCUGAACUUAUUUGACCAGUAGCCUUCAUCACAUUCGAUGGUUUGUCUAGCCACAAGACACAUGUUUGUUCCAGUACCCAUAUCAUCCUCAUCUCCAGAUGACCAAUAUCCUUCCACAUCUCUCAACACAGUGAUAGCGAAAGCUUUCUCUCUAGAAGCCAUCUCUUGAGCUCGACGUGCAUAGUAUGUAGAGUCCUUAAUCUUUGGUUUUUGUGGAGCUUCUACCAAGCAGUAUUUGGCAAAGUGGUUUGCAUGACCACACUUGUGACAAACAAUUUUUGGUUUAUCUGACUUCGGAGUCUUGUUAGAUUCCAAGGAGUGAGUAUGGGUUAGAAUAUUUGACUUGUAUGCAGGUGGAUUUUCAGAAGGUUUAGGGUAUGGUUGGGGAUUACAUUGAUGAGGAUAUUGGAAAUGGUUGUGGUAUGGUUUGUGAGUGGGAUUGAAAGGGCACUUAUAUUUCAUGGAGAGCAAAGCAAACUCUUGUUGAAAAUGUAAUUCAGAGUCUAUAGCUUCAGGGUCGAGGUCUCCAUCAAACUAAUAUUUUGAACUGGCAAGAGUAGGUAGAUUUGGUGGGGAGGAUUGAACAGGUGGGACAGAUGUGAUUAUAUUUUUGAAAGAGUCCGAGACUGAGAGGUUCGAAACUUGUGGUUCAUAGGAAUUGACAAGAGCUAGAGGACCUUCUGAGAGUUCUCUCAAAGUUUGUGCAACAUUUGAUUCAUGACCUUGGAGCUCAAUGAACAGUUGGUAAAGGUUCAGCUUCUUCAGAGAUCCAUUACUCUUAAGACAAGACUUUACAUUUCUCCAUCCCUUUUGAGACUGUUAAUGAAAUUGAGAUUGUACUCUAGAGGAGUUCAGACAAUCCCAUAAGUUGUCAUGUUGUUGACAACGAUUCAGUAUCCGUUAGAGGCCGAAGCAACCGAUUCACCUGGAGUUGUGGUGAAAGUAUUGAACUUGUUGACGACGAAAGUCAACUGCUUGUCUUUCAUGUUUUCUGAUCCCUCGAACAGGUCUUGGAGAGUGUCCCAAAUCUCUUUAGCAGAUUUGCACAACUUCAUGUGCUCAAAGAGAUAAAAAGGAACACCAAAGUCCAUUUCGGAAAUGCAACUUGAUCUGCAUGCAAUUUCUCGAUGUAAUCAGCAGUAAGAGGUGCUUGACGUUGUUCAUCCUGUCCCAUGAGAUUUGCGGCGGCAUCUCUCACAGUUUGUCACACAGGAACAUGUGGACCUUCUUUAAUGGAUCUCCAGAUAGCUUCACCUUUUUCUUUUCCAUGUAAGAGCCUUUCCAUUCUAACUUUCUAGUGAUCAUACUCUUCAACAACUAGCAAUGGGGCACGAGAAGGGCAACCUACACUAUUUUCUAUUUGCAUUAAAUACAUUUGUUAAGAAUUAGGAGCAGCCAUUGAAUCUUCGAUAUAAGAGCAGAAGUGGUAUAUAGAAGAAAUUUUAUCCUGAACACAUAAAUGAUCGAAAUACUAAGGUAAUUUUGAAUCAACUAUAAUCUAUUCAUAAGGCUUCAAAGGACAACCACUCAAGCCCUGAUACCAAUUAUGAGUUCAGGAAACAAUGCGCAAGGAAAAGGUUUGAAAACUUAAACCUUGAGUUAAUCAAAAGCUCAAUGUCUUCUCUUAAUUAAUGUUCCAUUCAAGUCUGGUAAAACCAGUCGAGACUUGAAGUAAAUGUUUAAUGAAGAAACUUUGAGUAUGAUAAAUGUAAAGACAAUAAAUGAACAAUGAGAAUGUUAUGAAAGAUUUUGAUGUGAGAGUAAAAUGAAAGUGAAGUAAAUGAAGUUUUAGCUAUCUUUGGAAGAACAACCCGUAUUUUACUUGUCAUUCAAAACACUCCUUAUAUAGGAAAAGGAGGUACGUCAUACAAAGUUGUGAUACUAACAUAGGACUGGAUAAUAACCAGUUUCUAACAUCUGAUUAUCUAACUUACAGAAAAGGCUAAGUCCUAUGAAAUGUUACAUCACAUAAAAGACAAGUAUAACAAAUGCUCAAGCACAUGACUGAUCUCGGAUCUUUAUUCUACAACGGACUAAACUCCAUCUCGUACCAAAAGCUUAUCUCAUACCACUUCACAUCUCGGACUCAAAACUGAUUUCGGAUCUUCAUAACUUGUGAUUGCUAGAGGUUCACUUUUAGGUUCCAACAUGCAUACUACGGAACCAUCAAAGCUCUGUCCCAGAACUUUCCACAGUCUUAGUCAUCAGGUGAAGGUCCUGAAACUCCCUCACCAACUACUGCACCUUAAUAGCAGGUGUAAACUCGGCCUUGAACCAGUGUGAACUCUGACCUUCGACCACUCGGGGCAGAAACUCGUCUGGAAUGCGUUAGCCAUGCCAUAUCUACUAACCAUCUCCUACUAUCAAUGGGGUCCUUCUGCCCAAAGAACUCGAGAGCUGCACAAGCACGGAAUGUGCGGAAGGAAAGAGCACAAGCUCCAACAAUAUCCAUAACCUCAGUACGGAAUGCGCACAAACGCUCAUCCAAAAUCUCUAUAAUCCCCUCUUUGACCAUACCGAAGAUCACCGGAGCCUGCUCCAAAAUACCGUGGGUAAUCUCUGACGAGAUGAAAUCCCGCAUCCGCUCAUCGAUCGACUCAACAUAUACACCAAAGCCGGAACCAGAACUUGAAACCCCUUCCUGAGUGCUCAUCGCCAUAUUGAAAAAUAAACAUGCAAAUGAUCAGAACAUAUGCAAGAAUCCUCAUCCCAUAGGAUUCCUAGAUUCUCUAAGACUCUCUCCGAUUCCAGUAUGGAUCCUGUGCUUUCAGUAGUACGGGCCCAAUACUACAUUCCACACCUAUCCAUACUCUCCUCAAGAAUCAUCCUGAAUCCUCCAAGUCGCCUUCUCAAACUGAUACUCCAAGCACUCGCUAAAACAAUGCGACUAAACCCACUAAAGCACUUCCUAGGCUUUCCUAGGUUUCUGACCUCACCCUGCCUUAGGUGUUGAAGAACUCCCCAUAAUGUUAGUUAACCACCUCAUGAAUUGAAUCACAUGCAAAAAGCUUAGAUAAUCAUUCGAGUAAAAGACUCAUCCCUACAACGGUUAGACUCAAACGAGAGUUACACAAUAGGGUCAAAUCCAUCACUCUAAGAUUAUUCAACCUUUGUCACAUGUGAAUUAACAUAUUCACUUAAUAGCGAACUCACAUCACUUAAGAGUUCCACAAAGCACAAAGCAAGAAAAUUUCGUGCAGUAGCACUCCAAUCCACAAAAUAACCAAAGAACAUUUAAACUCACAUACUACAACUCAUGCUAGGACCUUCCACUCUCACCGCUAGUUGCCUUAUGCAUGAAAAUUAUACACAAUACAAGAUCAAAUAGACUGUCGAAUAAAAGACUCAACCCUAGGACCACAACCAAAUGAGGAAUAGGAAAUAAGGCCAAAUCAAUCAUUCUAGGGCUAUAUGACCCUAACCGUAUACAAAUUUUAAAGCAUACACUUAGCAAUUACUGAUACCAAUACAUAUUCUCAAUCAAGCAUACCAUCCAAUGCUUCCUAGGCUACAAGGCAUCACAUAUUAGGCCAAUAUAUCAUGUAAUUCCUAAAAGUAUCCCUAGUCUUGUCCUAAAAUGUAAUUCUCAUAACAUAUAAUCAUAACAAACAUGUACGGUUAUUCUGGGAAUCACUUACUUGAGCUCGACCGAUUGCACGCAUCACACCCCUUUGUCUUUAUAAUAUCUUUUGAAAAUAUAUUCCCUUUUACAAAAUCUUUUUAGAAACUCAUUUUCUUUCGAAAGAUUAUCAAUUCCUCAGUUUGAGUUCAUACAUACCCGAGGCUCUGAUACCAACUUGUAACGUCCCAAAAAUUAUGAGGUAAAAUUUUCAUUUUUAAUUCAGCCAAAACAUUAAUUAUCUUUAAGUCGGCAAUCAUUAUCCUUUUUCUAAUAUUAAAAAGUACUUUAUAAGAAAACACUUGUCAGAGUACAAUCCCAAAAUCAUCAUAAUGCAGAAACAUUGGUGGAUGCACUGGGAUUAAGCCGAGCCCUUCCCUUUCGAGCCAGAAGUACCUAAAACCAUAACCAUGAAAACCAUAAUCACAAAGCUUAGUGAUUUCCCCAAAAUACCACAUACACAAAACAUACAAAUUCCAUGGGCUACCCCAUGGUCUUUUCUCGCAAUGCCGAGGGCCAAAUCCCGGUCUUACAUAGGAGUGCCAUGGGCUACCGCUAUGGUCUUUCAUACAAUUAUCACAAAGACAACAAGCAUUCCACAUAAUGAGAAAUGGGCUGGAAUUGGUGCCUUCGACCCAUGCAUAUGGUGAGAAAACUCACAUCUAGCUUCUGAAACACCCGAAUAAAUCUCUAACUGUUGGUCCGGAAAAAUCCCUGCUCUAUCAACAUCAAAUGAUAUUUUAACAUUAAUUGGGUUCCGACCCAUAACCAAGAGUCUAAGCUACUUAGCCCAUAACCAGGGUAAAAGAACAUUCUACCCUUCAUCUCACUUGGCCCAAAUCCAAGACCCAACUCAACUACUUCCGAUGCCCAAAUCCUAAAUGAUAUUCCAAAGUCCACUAUGGCCCAGUCUUCCAAAUUAUGCCCGAAACCCAUCAUCGGCCUAAUUCCAAAGGAGCACAAAAAUACAAACUAGAAGCCCAAAAAUAGAAUUCUAAUGGCCCAUCAAGGCCCAAACUAAGAAAAACCAAACAAUGGCCCAAACCGAGAAUACCAAGCCCAAACUUCCAUCUACUGAGUAUGUGGGGCGUACUCAGCUUGUAUGCUUAGCGUACUCCUUCUGGGGCUAGUACGUGUAGUGUACCAGCUGGGUAUGCCCAAUGUACUCCCCAGUUUGCCACCCCUUCCAUUAAGCACUUACUCCAUUGAGACUUCAAGACAAACUCUUAGAUCUGAUUCUAAAAGGCAAACUAUCACGUAAAGUUGGCAACUUUACACGUAUGCUUGGGUUAAUGGGGCUCAAGAGCUUAAAAAGGUCUUAGUACAUGCAUGGGUAAAGAUACACCAUAUAAUUGCAUUUUUAUGGAAUUGGGGACUGAAUGGAGCUAAGAUUUAGCAUCCAUUGCCUAUGGAGUAGAUCAAAAGCUUUCCUUUUAACAAAAAGGACUAAAAAAGUGCACAAAUUCUCCAUAAACUAAAUCUAACAUAGAAGAUCAUAGAGAUGUAAGCUUUUUACCUCAAAAAGCUUCCAAAUGCGGAGUUGAUCCCGGAUCCACAAGCUCAAGUAAUCCCCUUAAGUGCUCAUCUUCUUCCUAUUCACCUUAAGACACAAAAAUCUCUUUCUCAUGCAGAAAACUCACGAAAACACUCAAGGGUUUCAUUUUCUGGGACAAGGAGAGGUGGAGGCUGGUUAAUCAUGUCUAAAAGACGCUAUAAAGGGGUUUAAAUAGGGUGCAAACCCUAAAAAUUAAGGUUUUCAUCUGGCUGGAGUACGUCCCGCGUACUCCCAGUACGUCCAGCGUACUCCAUAAGGCAUGCGCAACUCCUCUUCCUAGUACAUGCAUCGUACUUCCAUGUACGCCCAACAUACUAGGCUUAACUUUAAAACUGCCAAACUUUUGAAGGCUAUAACUUCUUUGUCCUAAGUCCGUUUUUGAUGUUCCUUAUAUCCACAUAAAGGUAACAAGAAGCUCUAUGCUUCUAUCAACUCAUCCUUGCCUUCAAACUUCCCAAACAAAAAUCCAAGUUCCAUAAAAGCCCAAACUACCACUAUACGGAUACACCCUUGGGCUCUAGAUCACCAACCAGACUCCUGGAUCAUCUAACUUACAUUACCCACACCUAAAUGGGUCUAAAUCCCUCUUUUCCAACGACCCUAAGCCUUAUGAUACCUGAUCUUUGGGUCACCGCCCCACAUUAGGAAAUUAUUCGGAACAUAGUGUUGCAUGUGCCUACAACAUUCCUCAUCACAUCGAUGAUGUCACAUGGAAGAGAAAUAUAUGCAAUCAUCGAGCAAUAAAGUUACAACACAAUCUCUCUAGAUUUACUACAAACCAACAUUAAGAUGGGAGCAUAUGUCAUGAAGUUAUGGAACCAAAAUCAAGAAAACUUUUAACAUAACAAAGAUAUAGUAUUUGUCUAGAAAAACGUAUAAAGUUGAGAUUUAAUCAAAACAAAAUGAAAAAAAUAGGGCCUAAAUCGGGAAAAAUGAAAAUUUAAGGGUAAAUCGAAAAAGUAAAAUUAUAAGGACUAAAUCGGGAAAAAUGUAAGAGUUUUUCCUGGAAAAAAAAAAUAAAGUUGAGGUUUAAUUUAGAAAAAAACAAUAUAUAUAUAUAUAUANNNNNNNNNNNNNNNNNNNNNNNNNNNNNNNNNNNNNNNNNNNNNNNNNNNNNNNNNNNNNNNNCCGAACUUAUUAAAAAUUUUAAGUGUGUGCACGGUGGCAUUUUUGUAAAUAACCCUAACUAUAUGUGGUUUUCCUCUUAAGGUAAAAGUUUCAAGGGCAUACCGGUGAAAUUUACUUUCUAAUUCACUAGACAAACAUUGAAGCCGAUGUUUCCUCCUUUUUUGUCUAAGUUCAUGUAGAAUUAUCGUGGUAAACUAUGGAUCCUUCAUGUAAACCUUCAUCUGGUCUCGUAAUGGUUUCCAAUUCCUUGUGUUUAAGCUUCAUUUUGGUUCAAUUUCAAGUCAUGGAAGCAUGUAAACUUUUGUUUCUAAUUUCUACUAUUUUUAGCUUCAUUUUGGUUUGAUUAGAGCUAUUUGUUGAUAUUUAUUGUUCAAUUUUUCUUUGGUUUGUUAUGAUAAAACCUAAAUGUAGUUAUGAUUUGUGAUUCUUGAAACCCUAGUUUCAUCUUCUUGUCGAAUUAAGCUCCAGAUUCUAUGAGACGGAAUACUAAGAUCGAUUCUUUUUCAAUUUUUUAGUUUUGAAAAGAUUUUUGGAUGAUGAAUUUAGAUAAAGCCAUCAAUGUGAAGCUUAAUACAAUAACGUUUACAUGGUGUUUGACCCAUUGUCUUAAAGAAAAAACAUCUUUUAAAUUUUGAAUUCAUAAAUAUUUUAUGAUUGUUUUUAUUUGUUUAUAUAUGUAAAAAGUACUUAUGUAGUUGCCUAUGCCGAUGAUCAUUGUUUUUUCCUUAAAUUAACUUGCUAGAUAAAAUUAUAGAUACAAUAAAAUGUUAAAAUACCAACAAUAUUAAUGUCAAAAUAAAAAUAGAGUAUGUAUCAGAGCUUGAUGUAUGAUCCAAAUCUACAAUUAUGGGUUUAGUGACUGGUUUCUUUAUGUGUGUGUGUUUUCUUUCUUCUUUGUAUAUUUUUUUUGGCUUUUUUUAGGGCUAAAUAUUCAUUCAGGGUUAUGGUUUUGUUAGGAAAAUUAUGGUAAACUAGUGUUAUAAUGUAAUCUUUGGGUUAUUUAGUGGUUGUUGUUUUUCAUACUUUUUAACUUGGUAUGUACUUGGAGGAUUAGAGAAUCUUAUAAAUACACAUUUUAAGUGAACUAAGUUAUAGUGGUUAUAUAUUGGUUAUCUUGGGUGUUUGAUUGAUGUAUUGGCGAGAUGGUGAUUUAAGGAGUAUUGAAAAGUUCAUAAUUUUAAUUCAAAUGUCAUGUUGUGUUCACGCGAAAGUAUAAUGCUCAUCGAUGUUCAAAUGUUCCAAAUCAACGCUCAUCAUAUUGUUGCUUGAGGUCAGCAUGAUGAUGUAUAACUUUCAAAAUCCUUGAAUCAGAUAAUGAUAGAUGUUCUUCGUUGUCAUGGUUGCGGGUCUGAUGGUUAAAAGCAACAUCUUGUCGUGAGGCAUAAUUUGACAGGUCCUAACGGUUAGUUGUUUUUGCAGUUGGCAUGAAAGGGGUUGAAUUUUCAUUUUAUAAAACUAUUGUUGUUAUGAAAAACCCUUAAAGAAUCAUUCGACUAUAUAGGAUGAAUGCACGUGCUUUACAUUAUCUAAAAUCUAUUUUCCAAUAAUUUUAGGCCACUAUAGUAAAUUGUAGAAAUAUCAAAAUAGUAAUAUAUAUAUAUAUAUAUAUAUAUAUUUAUUAUGAUCCAUAACUUAAAAUAAUCUAGUUUCUUAUGAAUUAUGAUCCAUAACUUUAAAUGAUAUAAGAUUUACUAUUCUUAUGAUUUUUUAGGAUUUCAAAUGGAAAAUAGAUCUUUUUUUUCAAUAAUGAUGUUGACUUUGUGUUGUUUCAGACAAGGCCCAUGGAACGGAGCAAAUAAUGUUGAUGUUGAUAUAAAACCCAAGUCUGGUUGUCAAGAUGUAGAAUGACAGAGAUAAGGAAUAAAUAAGCUUCUAAGAUGGUGUUGUCUGGUUUUAGUUUCUGAAAAGUUAUCUUUGUGAAAACUUUGGAGGAAUAUGAUAAUUUGACAAGUUACAAGACGAAAUAGAUUUAUGGUGAUACACAUUUUCAUGAAGUUCAUUUUAGGAUUUAAGGAAACAAACGUCUAUGAAUGUUGUUCUCUUGUAAACUUGGUUAAUAAAAACUUUUUAUUUCAAUAGUUUCCUUACUUUUCAUUGUUAAUUGAAUGUUUUUAUUGUUUUCAUGUUAAGUUGUUUAUAAACAAUUAUACUUAGAUAUGUUUAUUUGGUUGUUGUGAACAUGGCUAAGGUACACUUUUAAUUUCUACUAAUGAAUUUUUCUGAUAUGAAACAUAGUAUUUGAACAAAAUAUACUUUAUAAUUCAUGUCAUAUUUUUAUGUUAUGGAUCAUAUAUUAUGGGUCUUGUUCUUAUGUAUCAUCUUAAUUGUGGAUUAUGUUAACUUGGUUGAAAAUUUGGUUGAUGAUAUGAAUGUUCAUUGGUUCGUAUUAUUUUUCUUGGAUCAAGAAUAGUUUAUGUAUCACAUAUCUAGAUCAUGAUUUUGUGAAUCAUUUCAUGAUCCAUAAUAUUGUUUUAGGAUAUGAUUUAAAUGUGAUAUAUUCAUAACCGAAAAAUAUGAAAUGAAUCAUAUUUUCUUGAUCCAAAACAUAUUUUUAUGGAGCGUUGUCCUUUAAAAUAUUUAAAACUAUGACAUUCAUAUGAUACAUAAGAAUAAUAUCCAAACAUUUAUGAUCCAAUGUUACAAAUAAUGUGAUAAAAAAUAAUUAAUUAUUGUGAUCCAACCUGAUAUGAUACAAAGUUGUUGUGAUUCAAAACAUUAAAAUGCUCCAAUUUUAAAUCUACAAAUAUGUAAUGGUCUAAAACUUUAUAAUGAUCCAGUUCGAACAUUUUAUGCUCCUAAAAAAAUUAUCAUCCAAAAGUUUUAGAAUCCAAAUAUUUUAUGAUCCAACACUACAAAUAAGGUGAUAAACAAAUAAAUGAUUUUAUCUAAUCCCAAACAAUGUAACAAAUCAAUUCCAAAAUAUUUUGAUCCAAAACUGAAAUGCUUCAAUUCCAACAAUAAAAUGAUUCAAACUUCUGAUAAACUAAGAGAAUGUGUAUCAAAAAUAAACAUUAUGGAUCAUUUAUCUAGAUCAUGAUUCUAUGAAUCAUGUCAUGAUCCAAAAUAUUAUUUUUAGGAUAUAAUCUAACUGUUAUAUGAUCCAUAACUUAAAAGGAUGACAUAAACCAUACUUGCUUGAUCCAAAACAUUUUCUUAUGGAAUAUUGUCCUUUCAAAUGUUUAAAACUAUGACAUUAAGACGAUUCAUAAGAAUAAUAUCCAAAUAUUUAUGAUCUAAUGUUACAAAUAAUAUAAUAAAAAUAAAUAAUUAUUAUGAUCCAAGCUGCUAUGAUAUAAAGAUUUUGUGAUCCAAAACAUUACAAUGCUCCAAUUUUAAAUCAACGAAUAUGUGAUGAUCUUAAACUCUACAAUGAUCAAAUUCGAACAAUUUAUGCUCCAAAAAAAAUUAUUAUCCAAAAGUUUUAUGAUCCAAUGUUACAAAUGACAUGAUAAACAAAAAAUGAUUUUAUAUAAUCCCAAACAAUAUAACAAAUCAAUUAUGUAAUUCAACAUAUUAUGAUUUUAAAUUUUUUUGAUCCAAAACUAUAUAGUGUUGUAGUUCCACCAAUAAAAUGAUUUAAACAUGUAAUAAACUAAGAAACUUUGAACCAUAAAAAUACCUAACCUAAGAUUAACAACAAGGUUGCCUAAAAAACCUUGAGAAACCUUGCACUUAUGAAGCAAUUUGAUGAAGAUUAGGCAUCUUGAAAACCUUGUAAACGUGUCCCCACAAGUUAUAACAUAUAACUGUAAUCCAAAAUGACGAUUAGUAGAGCACCUUUAGUAGCAGAAAUCACAAUGAAUUUUGGAAAUUUCACCACAAUUAACCCACCAUAACUAAUGUAAUCUCAUUUUUAAUAGAAAAUCAACAGUAGGAACCGAGCUUGUAGUGUAUAUUGAGAUACCAAAGUCAUCAAUGAUGACAGUUAACGCUAAUAUGAUGAACCUAAGACAAAGCAUAUUCCCUCGAUCAUGAUCUAUGAGAUAGUAUCUUCAAAGAGCCAACUAUAGAACUAAAAGGAGGUCACCACAAACAAAGUUAUAUAGACAUCAAGAAGCCACCAAACAUAAAUUUUAGUACAUAGGAGCAUGACUGCGGAGCAUGUUGAAUCAUCAAGCCAUCAAUAAGAUCACAAACAACAUCAUCAUGAAACAUGUAUAUUUACAUGCCAUUGAAAGAAAACACACCCAAAAGACACCCACUAAACACCAAUUUGAGUCGGGAAAAUACAAACACGACUAUAAAAAUUUUGAACUCUUUUAGGCAUUUCAUCAAUCACUUGUAAGGCAUCAUCAAAUAUAAGUUGGUAACCCUUUUAUAACUUAAUUUUUUCGCUAAAUUUCUUGCAAAUAUAUAGAUCCAUAUAAAAUAAACUAGUUUUAUUAGAUUAAUAUUAUUAAUAUGAUGAACAUCAUAUUCAGAUCGGAAAAUUUGUUUUUUUAACCUAAAAAUAAAAAAACAUGAGUACAUGAAAUAGUCAAAAUUUAAAUCAUGUUUUCCAUGAAACAAUUGCAUUGAAUCACACAAAACAUCAAUAUGAAGUAACAUGAUUUUGAGAAAAACACAAAGUUGCGCGUUAAUCGAAUUAACCUAAAUUUAAAAAUCGAUUUUAGUGAAAAGACAAAAGCCAGAAAAAGAUAAUGAAUUAACUUUUCAAAUGCAAUCAAUGGAUUAAAAUUUGUUAUAUCGAAUUAAAAUACACCUGAUCGAAUCAAAAUGUUCAGAUUAUUAGUUGAAUUUAGAAUCAACUUCUUUCCUUGAUUAAGAGCUUUGUGAAGAUGAAGACAAUGAUAUUUGAAGUAACUUGUAGCCCACUCCAAUACAUAUGUUUUCAGCCAACUCAAUGCCCAGACCCAGCCCUUGCUGAUUUUGUUUUCUGACAAAAAUGACUUUAAUGAGCUUGAUUUGUUGUUAUUUGUUCUCAUAGUCCUCACCGAAUCCAGACCCUAUANCAUAUAUAUAUAUAUAUAUAUAUUGUAAUUUUCCCUAAAUAAUAUGUUGUUUUAAUUUUUAAGUGAAACUCAAAUAUUAUAUUUGAUAUGUUAUUUGUUUAUUUGGGAAUAUUUGUUUAUCUAAUUAAGUUGUUAUAAUUUAAGGCUUAUUUAAGUAAGUCAUCAAACACAUCAUAGCACAAAUGCAUAUAGCUAAAACAAAAAACAUCAUAUCACAUUCACAUGUAGCGUAAAUGUAAUUAGGUCCUAUAUAAAUGUAAUUCUUUAACUAUUAAGCCAAAGCAAAAAAAAGACUUAUCUCAUUGUAAUUAAAACGUUAAAACAAUGCUAUUUAGUCGAUACUAUCCCUAGAUACACCAUAUCAUAAUAGCAUCAAUCACAUCAUAUGUAGCAUAAAUUCAUUAAGUACUUAAAGUAUCAAACGCAUCAUUUAUAACAUAAAUUCAUUAAGUACUUAACAUUUAAUUCAUAAUUGGAAACAAUUUAGAGAUUACAUGAUUAACUCAUUAAAUUUCCUAGAUACAUUAUAAUAUCAUUAAGUCCUUAAUAACUAAGUACCGAAAACCUUGUCAAUAAUAAGCGAACUAUAAUGGCAAGAUGUGUCUUACAAGCACACAAAAUUCGAGAUCCACGGUGAAGAAAACAACUCAACAUUAAUGAAGGGUUAACCCUAAAUCCAUGAAGGAAUGUAUGUCAUGUAGUGGAGAAGAAGAUGAAGUUGCAGGUCGCGGCGGUGGCGGUGGGUGGCGUUUUACCACAUAAAUUCGUUGCCUGCUCGGUGUUUUCUAGCAGAGAUGAAGGCCACCGGAGGCGGUCGUUCUUGGUGGAUGAUUUCUCGUUGUCGGCAGCAAGGAAGUUUCAGUGUCUAGGAGGUUCCUCAUCGCUAGCAAGUUAAAACAAGAGGGGAGAUUUUGUAUUCGCGUAAACAAAAAAAGAGUAGGGACAAAGCCUUGUAUGGUUUAAGGCUUUAGCAGUGACAAUUAAAACCCUUUAGUGGUGACAACGAAUUCUGGGGGGAGAGUUUCUUGGUCUUAUUUUUGGGGCGUUAGCAGGUCGUCAUUGUUGGUUUUUGAGCACUAUAACACUCCUAUGGUGCACAUGCAACCCUAAAUGCUUUGGAUCUAUGUAUCUCUCUAAUUAUACAAGCAUUUUCAAUAUUUCCAAAGCAUUCUCCCUAGCUAGCAUACAAUUAAAGCUAUACAAUAUAAACUUAGUUUGGAUGCUUACCUCAUGAGUAGGGUAGAGUUCUUGACCUUUGAAAGUUUUAGCGCCUCAAGUGUGAUGCCUCUAUUGGUUCACAAACUCCAAAAUGCAAGAGGAGGCUUGAGAGAAUAAGUUACUUAUCUCAAGAAGCUGGUGUAACCGAUUUUGGCUCAUGAGGGUUUUAUUUAUAGUGUUGCACAUGCAAGACUUACACUUUGUAAACCCUAAUGACCCAUGACUUUCCACAUUCUCAUGCUCCAUGGAUUUAACCUCCAUGGACUAUCCAUGGAUUAGUUUAGCCCAUCUACAUAAUCAUGGAUCAUUGGCCCACACUACAAGAAUCAAUUAUUUACAUAAUCAAUCCCCAUAUAUUUAAUUAGUCUCUUUUGACCACAAAAUUAAUUCCAAAUUAAUUCUUGAUCAAUACUAAUUAGAUAAUAUGAUUUCGUAUUAAUAAAUUAUACUUGUAAUAUAUUAAUAAACCAUAAAUAACCUUAUUCUCAAAAUCCAUCCUAUCAAAUUGCACUGGCGAAGGCAACCCAAAAAGGACCAUCCUACAAUCGGGUUAAGUACAUCCCAGUUAUAGUUAUGGGCUUAGACACCAAAUCCAAUAGUCAUGUCUAAAGGCGUCACUUUAUUUAUGUUGUAUGAAAAUGUGUGGUAACCAUUAGAUCGGCGUAUAUAUUGAAUGACUAGGAUCUCGACUAAAACACAUAGGUUGAUGAAUUGAGCAUUAGGGGUGACGCCUUUUGUAGCGACCAGACCUUUAGCGGCAACAACAAAAAGAGGUUGUUGGUGAUUUUGUAUCAUCAAUGUGUAUUUAAGUGUAAUAGAUUGACUUGUUGACCAAAAAUCAAUCUUGAUGAAUAUUAAACAAGUAAGGACGGUGCUGAGUGCACACUUGUUUAAGUUCAUUCAAUAUUCAAAGUAAACUAUCAUUUAAAGGCGAAGCCCCUAAACGAACGGGUGCCCGGGGCAGCGCCCCUGGGAGCGGGGUCCAACGGGCGGCAGCCCCUGGCGGGGUCCAAGGGACAGAGAUGACUGUUAUAUAAAAAAUGCAUUAGAAAUUUGAUUUUUUUGUAAAUGAACCCGAUUUUGACUUCAUUUUGACCCUUAUUAAUAAUCCAGUUUUAUUGACAGUUUAUGACUAUUAUAAACUGUUUUUGACAGGUUGAGUAGUUUUUUGACAAAGAAAACUGUCUUGACAGUUUUCAGACAAAGGAAGUAUUUAAUCAUUUUGGUCAUAAUUUUCCUGGUACAACAACAAUUACGAAAAUCAUAACUUCAUAUUCUUUGUUCUUGAAACUCUUCUGAGUCGGAUCCGAUUAAAUGUUGGGAGUACCACCCAAAUACUUUAAUCUGAAAGUGUACACACGAUUCUCAGAAUUUCCAAGCCUUCUAUUAUCCCGAAUUUCUAACAGAGGUUGCCUCUAAUGCUGUUGUUUCUUGUAGUGUGUAUAUCCGGUAAACAAUAUAAGUUUGUGUCUUGUUUAUAAAAAUUUAAGUUAUCAAAUUGUAAAAUUUAUAGAUGGAUAAAAUAUUUGAUCACCAUCAAUGUAUGUAUGUGUUGUGCGAAUAAAUGAUUUGAAAUAAUAUGCUUCAUAGAAAUAAUUUUUUUUAUUAUUAGUGUGUUUUAUUUUCUCAUUUAUUUAUGGUUUUAGGUCAUUUAUAGAUCCUUUCCUCACGCACGGUACUUAUAUAGUAGAGUAGCAGCCACCGACUUUAUUCGCUUGGUCGAAACAGACAGAUAUGGGGGAGAGAGAAGGGUAAAAAUCUCUUUCUAUUCACAGCGUUGGAAAUGCCCGAAUAAGUCGGCUCUAGAGCAGUCAUUGAAUGUGCGACCUCAAAUUUUAUUUCGCUGGCAAGAAGGUAGGUUAACGUAGGAGGGUUCGACAAAGCCUUUCCGUUGGGAAAUCCCUAAUAAGCUGCGCUAAAGACUGUUAGCCUUCUCUUUAGUAGUUUCGCGAAGGUGGAGUCUAAAAAAAUGUAACAUCUGCCGACUCCUUUGCUCAGUGAACCCCGCAUUUGAGGGUCGGGGCGUGAAGGCCUGUCGGCUUUGGAAAUCUGACGAUUACCUAAACCUAAAGGCUGCGAGUACCUGUAUUUCCUUAUCUAUAUAAUGUAUCACUGAAUAUAUAUUGUUAAUUUUGGUUAAAGUAACAUGAUAAAAACAUUAGAAACAUUUUGAAAAUAAAGUGAUGACCGAUUUAUAAUCAAUUUUACAUAUAUUUAUAGAUAAAAAUGAUUCAAAUUUUAUUAUAUCUCAUUUGUAGAUACUUUUUCAUCAUACAAUGAUUUAAAUCAUGUCGUCGUCAGGUUAAACGAAUAAAGUAGAAAAAAAGAAACAUCACAUUAGGGUGUUCAUGGUCCAGUUUUUUCGGUUAUUAGCUCAAACUGAAGCCAAACCGUUAGUUACGGUUUUUUUCAAGAAAAAACCGAAGUCGAACUAUUUAAAAAUUAUAACCAAACAAAACCAAACCGUUACUAACGAGUUGGUUCCGGUUUGGUUUCACGGGUUGGGUUUAGACCCAUUUUAGUCGAGUCCAUUAGAUUGUUAAAAAAACCUACUAUAUUGUUACAACAACAAAAAAUCUGCCAAAAAACUAACAAAAACAGCAAUAUUGAAGCUGUCAAAACUGCCAAAAAUUGUUAAAAAAAACUAAAUUAUUAAAGUUGUCAAAACUACCAAAACAGUAAAUAAAAAACAGUAAAUUAAAACUGAAUCGCGAGCACCCCUACAUCACAUGGUCUUGGAUCUACAAAAAAAAGUUUAAACGAACUUCAUUAGUCAUUGUUUACCGACCAAAAUAUCCACUACAAGAAAAAAGGGAAUUAGCAGCAACAAAAGUCGCCGCUAAAGAGUAGAAAAGUCGACGGUAAAGGUAAUAGCGGCGACAAACGACACGUCACUGGUAAAAAGUCGCUGCUACUGCUUUGUCAUUAUUGAUCAAAAUGUCGCCGGUAACACCCUGUGUCGCUACUAAUGCUCAUGUUGCCGGUAAUAGUGUCGUCAGUAAUAACAUUUUUCAUUUUUUCAAUUUUUUUUAAUCAACGGUUUUGGUGCAAAAAAAAAAAGAUACAUAAUGACAUUAAAUGCACAAAAAAAUACAUAAUAUCGAAUUAGGUAUAAAAUAGUGUAAUGACGUUAUAUAUAAUUAAUUUCAUACCAAAAUAAACAACCAAAGUUUUAUAAUUACAACAAGCUAGUACCAAAGUGUCACAACAAGUCUAACAUACAAAACACAAACUAAUUAUCUGACGAACCAUUACAUACGUUCCUCUCGUUUCCUCCUUGAACUUUCCCCGAUUAAAAAAAUGCAUAAAGCUCAUCCAUACACGUUGGGUCGUUGAGCAUUACCCGAAGAUAUUACAACUACAUAAUAAAUAACAAUAUAUAUAUAUAUANUAUAUAUAUAUAUAAACUUAUAAGUUAAAUUAUCAAAUGUAAACAAAAAACUACUAAAGUACAUUAUUAUUUCUUGCACUUAACACAUAAACGGAAUUACAAACACAAUUACCAAAUCAACAUGCAUUUAUUGAUGUCAAUGUACAUUGCUAUUUUUAAAUAUCGACAAAAUAUCAAAGUACAUUUCUAUUUUAUGCACUUAAAACAUUAACACAAUUACAAACAUAAUUACUAAAUCAACAUGCAUUUAAUGAUCAUUAUAUAGAUACAUGAGACUUUAAAAUUAAAUAAUCUACUAUUUUUGUGCUAAAGAACCUUAAAUACAAGAAAUACCAAAGCACAUUGCUAUUUGUUACACUUAAAUACAAGAAAUACUAGAAGUACAUUGGUAUUUGUUGCACUUGGGAGAAAAACACAAUUACCAAAUCAACAUGCAUUUAUUGAUGCCAAAAAACCAAAGUACAUUGAUAUUUCUUGCAUUUGGGACAAAAAACCAAUUAGCAACGCUUUUAGCAUAUAAUUACCACUAACCAAAAUUACCAAAUCAACAUGCAUUUAUUGAAAUUAAAUAAUCUUGUUUUACCUGUGAUGGUUGUGAUGACUAUGAUGGUCGCUACGAUGGCUGUGGAAUCAGUGGGAUAGCAGUAGGCCUGACAAUCGUGUCGUGUUCGGGUUGACGUGUCGCGGGUUGGCGGGUCAAAAUAUGUCAACCCAAACACAACCCAUUUAAAUAUAUAGGUCACGGGUUGGCGAGUUUGGAACAUAAACCCAUAUAUGACCCACCAACCCAUUUGUUUAUACGAGUUCACAGGUUGGCGGGUUCGUGGGUCAGAUUCCAUAAACAAAAUUGUCAAUUAAACAUGAAUAAAUUCUUGAUGGUUGAUGCAAACAUAUCCGAAUUUUAGACACUUAACUAGUAAGUAUUAACCAUCCAAAUGAGAAUUAAAAACAUUCAUAGAAACAUGUUCAAACUAAACAUUAAUACAAACAUAGAUAAUACUUAUUAAAUAUUGAUACUUGAUACAUAAAUACAUUUAAAAAUAAUCUAUAUAUAUAUAUAUAUAUAUAUNUAUAUAUAUUAUUAAAAGUAUAAACGGGUUGGCGGGUUGAAAAACUCAACCCAAACCCAUUUAUUUCGUGUUGUGUUGCGGGUCGUGUUGCGGGUCGUGUCGAGAAUUGCCAGCCAUAGAUAGCAUAAGGUUUUCGGCCGAUGUCUCUGAUAUGGCAACGUCGUUCACCUAAUACUCUCUCAAAAGUAGCUCUUUCUUAAGGUGUUAACUCUCUUUCAUCUUCUGGCCAUUGCGUUUGUUCUAAGAUCCCUUCCACUAUCGAUUUUGUUUUCUCCAAAAGUGAUUAACAAUUAAAUAUAAAUAAACACUUAUUUAUAUGAGAAAAUUAUAAUUAAAUAUUUACGUAUUGUUGUUCUGCCUCAACACUAACAAAUACAUCAUUCAUAUCGAUAUGAGCCUUGCGAAACGUUUUCAUUUUCUUCAGGUUCUGUUUAACAUUAAAAACUAGAUUAUAUUUUAAAAAAAUAAUUACAGAUAUCGUAUGUUACAUUCUUAUAGCAAGUACUUCUAUAUGAGCUUGACCCCCACGGUUCACGGUCGUUUGCAUUUCAUGGAUUUUUUUGUUUCUUUCUGAAGCAGCUAGUGUUCAGCCGUUUGGAAAUACUCAACUGUUUCCUCCAAUUAUCAACCACUAUAUCAUGUGGGGGGUUGGCCAGUGCUCUUUGGAUAUCCUCAUACCCUCCAACUUGCAAAAAUUAUUCUUUUGCAUCAACUUUACGCUCUCGAUAACCUUUUAACAAAACCGCUUCAAAACUCUUUAAUAGCAUAGUAGUGUUUGGAUGCUGGGACAUCCCAUCCAAAUCAAAUUUUGUCUACAAAAAAAGUUAGCCAAGUAAAAACCAAUAAUAAUUAACCAUAUAAAAUAUUCUUAUAUAAAUAAUUUACCCCUAAAUGUUGUUUUACCUUGUCCUUUAUCGCGGGUGAAACUUUUUUCCAUGUCCAUUUAUCAAAAGGGACCAUCUGCCACAUUAUUUUCCCAAAUUCACGUGCAAACAUGUCAUUCGACUCUCAUAAGAGAUCAUAUUUCAUAUCCCUAUCAUACUCCAUGUCAAUUAGUUUGCCCUUAUUAUGUAACAGCGCUCUUUCGAGCUUAAGGUUUUUUGGUUUUCCUCAGACUCUCCUGUGUGGCACAACUACAAAUAUAAUUAAAAUUAUUAGAAACGGUAUUUCAUAAUAACUAAAUAGAAAUUCAUAGUAAGACUUACCAUCAUGUUCAUGAUGUCAGCAUCUCUACUGCCUAGGAAAGGUGGGUCCUCAGCUCCAUCACCCCCAUGUCCACGACCCAUAACAGUAGCCGUGGUGUACAAAAACAAGAGCCAUAUCAAUUAUACAUUAUGCUUUACAUGACGAAAUGAAUUAUAGAAUCCUACUUUUUAUUUUUUUUAAUUAUAACAUUAAAUGACAUUACGAUUUAUAGCAUCCUACUUUUUUUUAAUUAUAGCAUUGUAGUUUUGAGGCUUACCUAAUUAAGUCAUAAAAAAUUAAGAAUACAUUCUUAUUGCACACAAAUACACAUACAUCCAUCAUACCUACACACACAUAUACAAUAUAUACAAAUCUACAUAUACAUACAUUAUUCACACAUAAAUUUUUGAUUGCAUACAAAUAUACAUAUACACAAUACACAUACAUCCAUCAUACAUAUACACAUAUAUACAAUACAUACAAAUACACAUAUGCAUACAUUUAUACAAACAUACAUGAUUGCAUACCAAAUACACAUAAACAUAAACAAAAUGCACUAAUAAACAUAUAAAUUGUUGGAUUAAACAAAUUUGCAUACCAAAUACUAUAUGUUUGUAUACCGUUAAAUUCAUGCAAUAAUCAUUAGAUUUCUUAUCAUAACCUUGAAUAUGACCAAAAUAAUUCUAUAAUUAUUUUAGCUCUAAAAGUUUGCAUACCAUCUGUUUUACAGUUUUAGUUCAAAUAUCAUCUGUUUGAAUGCCAAAUACCAUCUAUUUGCAUACCAAAGAGAAUCACUAACCUGAAAUCGAAAUAAGAAGCACUACCUGUGUUGGUGUUUUCGCCGAAAAAAUCUACAAUGGCGAUGGCCUCGUCGAAGCAGCAACAACAAUGGUUGUUUGUGGAUUUCUUGAUCACAAAAAAAAUUAUCUUAGAGUGGACACACUUCAGAGGAGAAAAACCGACAGAAAGGACGAGAAAUUACUUACCAUCAGCGAUUUUAUGGUCGAAGGGUCGCUGAAAACACACCUAAUCGCCGGUAAACACCCCAAAAUUGUCGGUAUAAAAACCCUAGUGGUGUUCCUGUCAGUCAGAGGUGGUAAUCGGCUGGUGAACGACCUUAAGCUUUCCAAAGGGUCAGAGUGGAGUCGUAAUCGCCGAAGAAGAGAAGUGGGAGUGAUAGUGAGAAAGCAGAACGUCGACAAGGGGAUGAAAUCGACUUAAGCCAUUAUCAGCGAAGGUAAUAGCGGCGACAUGGAGCAAUAUCGGCGACACUCGAUGGUAAAUGGAAGGAAGUUUUUGCGGUCAACAUUUUUUAGGAUAUUAGUGGUGACGGGGUAGCCGCUAUUUCUGUUGCCGGUAAUAAUUUUGUACCGUUGGAUAGGAAUUAAGACCGACGGCUAUGGUGAAGCCCAUAUUUGAUAGGGAUCCAGGUUUUUGAUCAGAAUUUGAUCUUGUUUUCAUGCAUCACUAUUAGUGCAAAUCGGUUCGUGUGUGUGUANNNNNNNNNNNNNNNNNNNNNNNNNNNNNNNNNNNNNNNNNNNNNNNNNNNNNNNNNNNNNNNNNNNNNNNNNNNNNNNNNNNNNNNNUAUAUAUAUAUAUAUAUAUAUAUAUAUAGAGGUUUAGACACUUUUAUAUAUUGGGGAUGCUGGUGAUAAGCGCAAUGGUGGUGACUUAAACUUCGGUUGCAUGCUAUCGUGGGUUCUUCUUAGCAUGGAUCUUUGAUUUCUAUUCCUGGUUAAGUUUGCUGCCUUCUUUCAAGGAAUUAAUUACAAGUCGUUAAUGAAUGAAAUUCGUCGGUUGACAACAUUGAACAAAAAGUUCCAUACAUGCUCAGUUUCUUUAUGUUGUUUGUGCACCACUGCUACCAUACAACUGAUCACGACAUGAUUCCUACAAAAAGUCGGUUACAGCCAAAAGAUUUAUAUAACCGUAUAUUUUAGACCAAUGGCGCAUAGCUAGCAUAUAUAGCAUACUAAAAAACACAUCUAAUUAUCAACAAAUCAUGCAUUUAUCGCUUGUUCAUUUGACUAAGAAAUUAAAGUUAGCUUUAACUUUAACAAAUCAAACAUAUAAUUUUCCAAACUCCGAAAUUCAAUAAUAUGUUUCCAAAAUCUGAAAACAUACAUUGUUAACUUUGUGACAUGGACGGCAAGUAUUGUACAUAAUGCACAAUCUAAGUUGAUUAUUAAUUUAUUUCAUCCUUUUGUGUUCAUGGAAUAUUUUUAGCUAUAAGAGACAACAGUGUCAAAAUAAAAAGUUUAAAUCAAGCCAUAGUUCGAAAGAUCCGUCCUACUCAACAUAGACUUCUUGUAGAACUUCAUGGAUUACUUCAAUGUACUUGACUCACUCAUGUUUUGUCUAAUAUUCAAUCCGAAACCCUAUAUAUAUUUUUAUUCACUUGUUAACAAAUAUUUAUAUUCUUCAUAUAUAACUCAAUAUUCACUAUCAAGAAUAAAAAAAAUUCCUAUUACAUAAACAUUCUGAUGGGAAAAAUGUGCUUGGUUUUUUUCUAUCUUCUGGUGGGUACUUUUUUCACGGUUUCACAAGUUUCCAGCGCCAUUAUAACUGUUAAUUUCACUACGCCUGCCAUUUUCAUAUUUGGUGAUUCAACUGCUGAUGUGGGAACAAACUCUUUCUUGCCAAAAACCAAAAUACGAGCUAAUUUUCCUUACAAUGGGAUUGAUUUUCCUAAUUCUAGACCAACAGGACGUUUCAGCAACGGUUUCAACAGUGCAGAUUAUUUGUGUUAGUACGAUCAAAUUAUCACCAAAUGUAGUUAGAGUUAAAUUUUACUGAUAUAAGUAUUAUUUUUUUCAUUGAUUUCAGCAAAGCUAAUGGGACAAAAAAGAAGCCCACAGCCAUACUUGUUUCUCCUGAAAGCGGGUCUUAGAAAGCGAAUGUUUAGAGGUGUAAAUUUCGCAUCAGGAGCAUCUGGUCUUCUGGAUGUAACAGGGAAACACUUGGUAAGUCUCAGUGUAUGGCUGCCCCUUGUUUAAUUAUGCGGUCAUGUGACCUCAUAUAUAUAUAUUCUGUUGUAUCUUUUGCUUUUGGUCAUUCCUAAUAUGGUUAAAACGUGAGCAGAAUGUUGUAUCGAUGUCUGAGCAAAUUAAGCAGUUCAAGACAGUACGUGGCAAUCUAACAUUGGUAAAGGGACGAGGAGCUACAAAAAACAUACUUGCAACAUCCGUAUUCGCCAUUAGUGUCGGGAGCAAUGACAUUUUUGGCUAUUUUGAAAACAGGAGCACUGUUGAUCCUACUAUUUUCAUUGCUUCUUUAAUGACGGCAUAUGAGUGUCACAUUGAGGUACAUAUUUUGCAUACGUGUCACCACCACAAAGUUCAAAUUAACAUGUGUGGUGAAAAUUGUUUUAUACAACCUGUGUCGCAAAAGGUGCCAUAUUGGGGUUUUAAGAUGGAACUUUGUGUCACAAAAUGCCAUGUUUUAUGUAAUAUUGUGAUUUGUUAAGUUUUUACUAUAUACUAAUUAUCACGAAGCCAAACUAAAACAAUGUUGGAAUCAUUGAAGUCUUUGUACAACCUUGGAGCAAGGAAGUUCGGGAUCAUAAGUGUGCCACCAAUUGGAUGUUGUCCGUCACAAAGAAUUUUUAAUGUUACCGGGGGAUGUUUUGAGAUAGAAAACACUUUUGCUCGGGCUUUUCACUCAUCGCUCGAUGCUCUCUUGAAGAAACUAUCUUGUAAACUAUCAGGCAUGAAGUAUUCACUCGGGAAUUCAUAUGAAAUGACGAUUAACGUCAUCAAUUUCCCACAGCUGUUCAGUAAGUACAUAUACCAAACUCUUUACGACAUACUUUGCUCUUUUGACUUUUCACAUUUAGCGGUUGAUAGUAUAUGUUACUAAUUUCGUUUCUUUCUUUCUUUCUUUUUUUUUUUUUUUUUUGUCAGAUUUUACGUAUGUGGACAGAGCGUGUUGUGGGGAAGGGUGGUUAAAUGCAGAAAAGCCUUGUACUCCGAAAGCAAAUUUAUGCUCAAGCCGCAACAACUACCUCUUUUGGGAUUUGUUCCAUCCGACACAAUAUGCUUCCAAGCUUGCAGCCGUAACUUUAUAUAAUGGUGGACCACAAUUUGUGACCCCGAUUAACUUCGCUCAGUUAGCAGCAUACUGAUUUGUUUUGUUAGUUUUUGUGGUUGAUGUUACAUUUAAUUUGUUGCAACAUGUUUUUUAAUUCGAUCAUACAAAAUAUGAUCAUAUGCACGAAUAAGUAGUCUCGUCUUAACGUUUGUAUAAGACGAUAGAGAGAUUUUAAUAACUUAUAAGUUAUUUGUCUUUUAUUAAUGAAAAUGCUAGACUGCGUUUAAAAGAUCACAUAUGCAUUUAUCUACAUUUGCCCAUCUACUUUUAUGUCUCUCCAUCAUUCUUAAAUCAUCCGUAUCAUUAUAUAAUAUCAUUGGACGUUCAAUUAUGUCACAUUAACUUUUCACUACAAAAAUACUAACCUUUAGCGGCCACAAAAGUCGUCGCAAUUGAUCAUCUUUGCCGUCGCUAAUGCUAUUAGCGACGACAUAUCGUCGCUAAUGCGUCGCCGCAAUUACCUCGUAGCUAAUAGUCCAUGUCGUCUCUAAUACUGACGUCGCUAAUAAUUGUCGUCCCUAAUACACCAAUGCUGUCUCAAAUAGUGUCGUCCCUAUUAAUAUUCCGGCCACCGGUAGGAUUUUUCCGGCAAUACUCGCCGGAGGUCACGUUGUCACACUUGACAGUAGUCGUCUCUAAAGACGUCGCUGCUAAUGGUUUUUUUUUUUAUUGAGAAAAACUUAUUUUUUAUAAUAUUAAUUUAUAUAUAUAUUAUAAAAUGUUGUUUUGAUAAAAAUGCAUAUAUAAAUACAUACCACAUUAUAUAAAAACAUCAAAAAUACCAUAUUCCAUAAACUAUUUUCCAAACAAACAUCAAACAUAUCAUAUCUAAUAAAUCUCAAACAAACGUUUAAUAUAUAUCAUACAUAAACUAUUUUCCAAAUCAAAAAUAACAUCCUCCAUAUCAUAAAACAAGAAAUACUAGUUGUCACCGUCCUCCCCAUCGUUGUUUUUCUCGUUGACUUGGUUUUUAAACGAGCGAAUAAUGUCUCCAAUGGCCGUCACAAAUGCCUGGUUUUGAAGAAAAGCAUUCACAUCAACAUCCUACAAUUAAGUCACAAACAAAUAAGUUAUGAACAAUUCAACAAACUAUCAAACCAUCAAAGCACCAAAUCAAUUAAGUCUAUAACAAUUUAAGAAACUACCGAGCUACCAAAAAUUACUACAAAUACAUUAAGUUCUUAACAAUAUAACAAAGCAACCAAUUUUUUUAAGAAUUUAACAAGUACCUGUGUUGGUUGCGAUGCUUGUGACUGUGACUGCCAUUGGGAUGAAGCACUUGUACCCACAGCUGAAGAAGCUUUAGGCCCAAUGCCUCUCACAUGCCCCCUUCGAGUACCCAACACCUUCUCAAAUAUUGCGAUCCAAUCAAUGGUGUCUGGAUCACCACCAGAGUCGGCUAUGUGAUGAGUCUGUAGAGCAACCUCAGCAACUAAGGCAUUCUGUAUUUCACAAAGAUUGUUAAUAUACGUUAAAACUAACAAAAAAAAUUCAACAAUCUACUUCAUUUUUAAGUAAUAAUAACUUACAUAUUGCUCUUCAACCAAUGGAUCAACAAAUUCCCCUCUUUUAUUUACAUGCGCACGAUGAAAUACUUCAAGUCUAUUCAAAUUAUGUUUAACAUUACAAAAUAUGUUAUAGUUGAAUAAACAUUAAAAAAUAUGUUAUAACUGAAUAAACAUUAUUGUAACUUACUUUCUUGAAACAAGCACUACCGUAGCUGCACGUCCCUCCACGAUUCUUCACUACUUGCUUCUUCCGGCAUUCUUUGUUUCCAGCGGAUCGUUUUUGAUGUUUUUCUGUUAAGAAAUGGUCAAUAGCAGCAUUCCAACGCUGCUGAUCCAUACCCCUAGGGGCUUGAGCCCUUGCUGCCUCCACAUUCCCUGCAAAAUCAUCAAAACGGUUUUUUGCAAUAUUUUUGCGGCCUCUAUACCGCGCACAUAUCCGAUUAUUCAGUGAUGCCCAAUAAGUUGAAGCCAUGGGAUGAUUUGUAAUCGCGUCAAAAUCAAACCAUCUCUACAAAAAAUAGAGAAAUUAAAAAUAAAUCAAAAUUAAAAAUAUUAAAUAUAUAACUUUAUAAAUAAUUUACCGAAAGAUAUUGCAACAUUCCAACCCUUUCGGCUUCAGAAACCUCUGUCCAUGUGUCUUUAUCAAAACCGAUGUCCCGCCACAUAUAGCUCCCAACCUCCCGAAUAAAACAUUCAUACACCUCCCCAAUCGGCAUGUUAGUAUUUACGUCAAAUACUAUCUUAAGAGGCCGUUCACCGUUAGCUUUAUAGAGUUUGUGCAUUUUUUUAUUUACCGCCAUGCCUCUUCGUUUCGGAGGCACCACUGCAUAAAAAAAAUAUUAGUCAGAAUAAUUUUUUAUAUACAUACAAUGUGAAAUACAAUGAAUUAGAAUAAAUNCGAUACAUCACUAUCAUAAUCAGAAUCUUCCUCAUCAUAAUCAGUCUCGCAAUCAGACACAUUAUUGAUGAUACUCGUCGGUGGGUCAACUUCAAUAUCAUCUUCAACCGAUUGAGAAUUUUGAAAGUAUUGGCUAAAGUCAAUUGAGAGAGUGAAAUUAGAAGAAGCAUUACUAAGAACGACAUCGGUUGAAUCAUUGUCGACAUUUUCAAUGGGAUCAUGAUCAACAUCAUUCAUCGGUAGAUCCCAAAUUCUUCUAUGAUUAACAUUUUCAACAACCCACCGUUGGGUGUCAUUUUCGUCACUUGGAGAAGGUUCUUGGAUGUAAAAUACUUGCUUGGCCUGCGUAGCAAAUAUGAGUUGAUCUUCGCUGCUCAAUUCGCGUUGUGGGUCGAUACUGGUGAAAUUAUUAUCAGAUUUAACUCCUGCAGUAUCGAACCACUUGCAACGAAAAAGUACGGUGGAAUAUUUAUGAGGAUAAUGCAACUCGAUAAUCUCUUCUAGCUGACCAUAAUAUUUCUGCUUAUUCUCUCCCUCAGUUAGAACCCCCGAGUUUUGUGUUGAUCGUUGAGCGUCACGCAUAAGUACCAUAUACCUAACACCAUUCACUAUGCAAGCGGUGUAAGUAAAGGCAUGCGCAUGCACACCGAUUGAAAGAGCCGAUAACUCCUUAUUAAACUCUGGAGAUUUUUGUUUUUGCAUAUCAUAGACCUUAUGAAGGAACCAUUUAGGAAAUUCGAUUUUUUCAUCACUUUCAGGAUGUAAUGAUUUGAAUUCACUACAUUGAUGAAAAAAUAUAUAUAUUUAGUAAAAAUGCGAAAUUAAAAAAAGACAAUGAAUUAAAAGAUAAGAACACUUACGCAAUAUACUUUCUGACUUCCUCACAAUUAUCAAGCACAAACCAAUGUAGACGUUUUCUCUCCUCUAGACUGAGAUUUUUCAUUUUCCUUCCGCUAGUUGGUCGACACUUAGACUGAAACACCCAUAACUUUGUUUCUUCUAUGAUAACAUCCUCGUUUCUUUCAAGGCGAUUGAAUCGAGUCUCAACAUCUUCAAGGUACAUCGAACAAAAUGAUAAUGCCUCUUCAGCGACAUAACCCUCAACUAUAGAACCUUCCGGCCUCGCCUUGUUUCUGACAUAGUUUUUUAGUUUUUUCAUAUACCUUUCAAAGGGAUACAUCCAUCUCAUACAUACUAGGCCUCCAGAAAUUGCUUCAUCAGGUAAAUGCAAAACUAAAUGAACCAUAAUGUCAAAAAACGCAGGAGGAUAGAUCACUUCUAAUUUGCACAAUAUUUUAAUAAUGGCUGGUUUCGCUUCUUUCAUAUCCUUCACCGACAAUGUUCUUGAGCAAAGUUGCUUAAAAAACAUACAAAGCUCUAUUAUUGGUGUAUAAACACCUUUCCCCAAAAGACCUUUAACUCCAAUGGGUAACAAACGUUGCAUAAGAAUGUGAUAAUCAUGAGAUUUCAACCCAAUAAUGUUAGUAUUGGUUUCAUUCACUUUCUUACCGAUGUUAGAUCCAAACCCAUCUGGCAGUUUCACAUUUCUUAUAAACUUACAAAAACGAAUGCGGUCAGGUUUCGUGAACGAGUAAGGUGGAUGGGGUUUAUGGAACUUGUUUCCAUUCUUUUUCAACCAUAGAUUUUUCCGAAUGUUCAGUUUUGUCAAGUCCGCCCGAGCAUUUGAUGUGUCUUUAGACUUAUCAUUCAUCAGAGAAGUACCCACAAGACUCUCACCCACAUUUUUUUCAACAUGCAUAAGAUGGAAGUUGUGCUUCAGCUCCAGAGAAGACCAAUACUCAAGUUCAAAGAAUAUGCUCUUUUUGGACCAAUUCAAACCGAGCAUUUGAUGUGUCUUUAGACUUAUCAUUCAUCAGACUAGUACCCACAAGACGGGGGGACCCUGUUUCCUUCAGGAAAUGCAGUUUGCAACAACUCAAGAAGCUGAUCGAAUGAACUAUCAGUCCAUUUAUUGAUCACCUUGAUAUGCAUCAGCUUUGCUAAAAAGUCAAGGGACGAAAACGAACAUCCAGGAUAUAAUUUGAAUUUGACUUCCUCUAACAGCUUUUGAAAUCCAACAUCAACACCUUUACCGUCUGUAUCUAGGUUCCCUUCGUUGCAGUUAGUAUCAUUUUCAAUCACACCUCCCAUAACAUCAUCAAUAACAUCGGCCAUCUCGUUACUACGCGGUAUGUCUUCGACAACCGGGUGAGUUGUAUUUUCGCCGUGGUACUUCCAUAUAAUAUAAUGUGGACUAAAACCAUGUUGAAGUAUAUGGAAUUUCAUUAUGGCUAGUAGUAUAAAUUUAUUGACAUUGCAUUUGUUACACGGGCAUCUAGUUUGACAUUUGUUAUCGACAUGUGGUUUGGAUCUCUCGAGAAAAGAUUCAAGUCCUUGUUGGAACAAGGUAGAGUUACGGUUUUCAAUAGUAGUCCACGUUUUAUCAAUAGACAUGUUGCAACUGAAACAUAAGUUAGGUUUUAGUGUUUACUCUACAAGAAGUAGAACUUGGAUUGAAUAUUUAUAACAACCGAAUAUUUCUUAAAUUAAUUUUUUUAUUAUAGCAUGAUACUUUAAACGAUAGUAUAUAUAUUUGUUAUUUAUAUCAUCAUUUUUUUUUCAUAUUUUGAUUUGUCAACUUAUUUUUGUUUUAUUUUUCUAUUUUGAUUAAUUAUAAAUUAGUAGAUUUAGCGUAGCGUUUUAAUUUUUAAUUUUUUUUAUUAUUAAAUUUUACUUUAAAUGAUAUUAUAUAUUUAUUAUUUAUUUAAUUAGUUUAUUAUGGUUUAUUAUUAUUCUUCUUCUUUUUCUUUUUAAAACCUUUUUGACCAAUUUUGAUUUAUCAAUUUAUUUUUGUUUUUAUUUUUCUAUUUUGAAUAAUUAUAACUUAGUAGAUUUAGCGUNNNNNNNNNNNNNNNNNNNNNNNNNNNNNNNNNNNNNNNNNNNNNNNNNNNNNNNNNNNNNNNNNNNNNNNNNNNNNNNNNNNNNNNNNNNNNNNNNNNNNNNNNNNNNNNNNNNNNNNNNNNNNNNNNNNNNNNNNNNNNNNNNNNNNNNNNNNNNNNNNNNNNNNNNNNNNNNNNNNNNNNNNNNNNNNNNNNNNNNNNNNNNNNNNNNNNNNNNNNNNNNNNNNNNNNNNNNNNNNNNNNNNNNNNNNNNNNNNNNNNNNNNNNNNNNNNNNNNNNNNNNNNNNNNNNNNNNNNNNNNNNNNNNNNNNNNNNNNNNNNNNNNNNNNNNNNNNNNNNNNNNNNNNNNNNNNNNNNNNNNNNNNNNNNNNNNNNNNNNNNNNNNNNNNNNNNNNNNNNNNNNNNNNNNNNNNNNNNNNNNNNNNNNNNNNNNNNNNNNNNNNNNNNNNNNNNNNNNNNNNNNNNNNNNNNNNNNNNNNNNNNNNNNNNNNNNNNNNNNNNNNNNNNNNNNNNNNNNNNNNNNNNNNNNNNNNNNNNNNNNNNNNNNNNNNNNNNNNNNNNNNNNNNNNNNNNNNNNNNNNNNNNNNNNNNNNNNNNNNNNNNNNNNNNNNNNNNNNNNNNNNNNNNNNNNNNNNNNNNNNNNNNNNNNNNNNNNNNNNNNNNNNNNNNNNNNNNNNNNNNNNNNNNNNNNNNNNNNNNNNNNNNNNNNNNNNNNNNNNNNNNNNNNNNNNNNNNNNNNNNNNNNNNNNNNNNNNNNNNNNNNNNNNNNNNNNNNNNNNNNNNNNNNNNNNNNNNNNNNNNNNNNNNNNNNNNNNNNNNNNNNNNNNNNNNNNNNNNNNNNNNNNNNNNNNNNNNNNNNNNNNNNNNNNNNNNNNNNNNNNAUCACACACACACACACACACACACACACACACACACACAUAUAUAUAUAUAUAUAUAUAUAUAUAUAUAUAUAUCAAUUUCACAUAUAAAUUCAUCAACUCAUACAUGAUCAACAAGUGAAUAUAUAUAAACUACUCAACUCAUACAAAACAUAUCAAAUUAAUCAACUGAAACAUACAUUCAAACAAUUGAAAACAAAAAAAAACAAUUUCACAGUUUCUAGUUUAUAUCAAUCCAAAGAAAUCAAAAUAAUCAAAUUCACAAUUUCAUAGUUCACACUCAAAAUCAAUUUCACAGCUUCAUAAUAAAUUUCACAAAUUUCACAGAUUCACAGCUUCAAAAUAAUCAUUCACAUUCACAGCUUCAUAAACAAUUUCACACUUCAAAAUAAACAAAUUUAAUAGCUUCAAUAUAAACAAUUUUACAAUUUCCAUCAAGUGAAACUAAUCAAACUAACCUGUUUUUGCCAGGAAAAAUGAAAGCUAGACAGUGGUGAAGCGUGGGGAAGCUGCUGGAACGAAAAAAAAAACAAAUCACUUCAAAUAAAUCGGUGGUGUUAAUGUGAGUUAAAAGAAAAUUGCAAACACAAUUAGGUCCUAAAAACUAACCUUGCCGGAGAUAUGAGCACGAAAUCGAAGGUCCCGUUGGAAUUGGAGGUGGCAGUCGCUUUGGAGGUUAUACCGCCGGUGGGACUCGGUUUUGGAGGACAAUCAGCGGUGGGAGAAGGGUUUCUAGCCCAAUCAGCGGUGGAGAGCGUUGGGAGUCGCCACAGAAAUCGCAGAUCGCCGGUGUGAAAGAAAGGAGAGGAAGGUUCGUCUGGGGAAGACGAACUGGAACAUAAAGGGCUACGCUAAUAGCGGCAACAUGGGGCUAUUUGCGGUGACAAAAUGGAGGGAAUCAUACGCGCACUUUUUGGCGAUUAUCAACCGUUGGAUUGGGUUUGAAUUGUAGGGCCAGAUUUCGUCUAAGGGUGAGUCAACGGAUCCCCCCCCUUUAGCGGCGACAUGUCGCCGCUAAAGGCGUCGUCUCUAAUGCCUUAUCACAGGAACAAACCCUAUCCGUUGGAUUAUUUGCCAAACCAAGGGUCACGAUUGAAAGUAGCGUAUCUCCGACGGAUCACCGGUGGUUAUCUUUAGCGACGCCGAUAAUAGCGACGACAGUGGGGUUUUAGCGGCAACAUACAUCGCGUCAAGUCUGGUGUCGUCGCUAUUGCUUUUGUCGUCCCAAAAAGCGUCGUCCCUAAUACUCCGAAUUCUUGUUGUGUUUGCAAGACCCCAUAUUAAUUAGUCCAAUACCAACACAAUAUAUAUCAAGAAAUGUUGUUACUUACAACUUCAUUACAAGUUCUUUUUAUUGCACUAUUCGUUCUUAAGCUUAGUUUUUCUUGUGUGGUUGUUCUUUCUACGCAUUGAGCUUAAAAGAAGCCAUUAAGUCAAUGUAUAACGACUUCAUCCUCACCCCAUUUCCCUCAACCCCACACCCUUCUCCCACCCCUUCUUCCUCCUAAAGAAAAACAAGACGAUAAACCAACUCAGGUAGAUUGAUUACACUUCCAUUUUCUCCCUUUAUCGCCUCUACAUUUCCUUGAUUAUAAAUUGGCAAAUCAAUCGAUAAAUUGGAAUAUGACGACAGGGAACUCCAUUGAUAAAUCCCAAAUGUGGUGAUAAGCACGUGAUAUCAGAAGAUUUCAAAGUAUCUUAGUCUUGGGUGCCGUUACUUAGUGCCGUAUAGAUAGGACUCGUUUUUCCUUCUUUUCCACUGUAUAUAAAUACACAGCUUGUAUAUGUACAAGAACCAUCAGGGAAUACAAACAUUCAUUUUUACAGUCAUACAGUUUCUCCGUAUGGUAUCCAGAGCCAUCUGAUUAUUUUUUUUUCUUUUGCUCUCACUCUACCUUCCGGUGAUUUGCUCCGACGAACACUCUAAUGGCCAAUUCUAGCGCUUCUCUCUUGGCCCAUGCCACAUCCACAUCCGCAACCCCUGCUCUCAAUCUUCAGAUACCGCCAAUUUCUGUCAAACUUGACAGGGAUAACUACCCCCUUUCGCGAUCUACAGUAACCUCUGCCCUAGAAACCUUUGACUUGGAAUCCUUCGUCUCCGAUUCCAAUCUACCUACUAGAACUUAUCUCUCCAGUGAUUCAGACGACGAUGCUGCACCUGCUCCUAAACCCAAUCCCGAAUACGCCAUUUGGAAGAAAAGAGAUCGAUUUGUCCUUUUAUGGAUCAAAUCGACACUUUCUGAACAGGCUCUCUCCUUAGUCGUUCGGGCCCCCACUUCUCGUAUUGCUUGGACUAUUCUAGAGAAAAGUUUUCAGUCUCAAACCAGGGCCCAUCGCAUGGCCAUGAAAGUCCAACUUCAGAAUCUGUCAAAAGGAUCGCUCUCAAUGAUUGACUAUAUUCAAUGCAAACGGUCCAUUGCGGACUCUCUCGCUGAGAAUCUUCGCCCAAUUUCGGAGGAAGAUUUGAUUAGCUACAUUCUCACGGGAAUUGACUCCUCCUAUGCCGCCUUUGCCACAACGUUCAUGAUGCAGUCGGAUAACAUCACUGUUGACGAUCUUGUUGGUUUUCUUCUGCAAGAAGAGGCACGAAUUGAACAUGAACAUACUCGCCACGCUCCACUUCUCAAUUCUGUUCCAACCUCUGCCUCACCUAUCUCCAGUUCCACCGCCUUGGCAGCACAACGGUCCUCUACCCGGGUCCAAUCAUCUUCAAAUAACUCUCAUGCUUCUGGUCCAUAGCGAAAUCCUGACAAUCGUCGGCGUCGCCCUAUGUGUCAGCUAUGUAGUUGUCCCGGCCAUGAAGCUAUCGACUGCUGGCAAAGAAACAACCAGAUCGACUAUCCCUCCAGACAACCCAAUCCCUGACAGUCUUCUCGGCAGGCUCACAUUUCUCACCCUACCACCUCAUCCACAGUGGUCGACCCUGCCUGGUACUUUGACACCGGUGCAACGGACCAUGUCACUCCGGAUAUUAGCAAACUCAAUCUUGCUGAAGACUACCACGGCACCGAUAAGUUGAAGGUUGGCAAUGGUAAUAACAUGACUAUUUCUCAUAUUGGUGUCAGUUCCUUGCAUAACUUAAAUUUGCCAUCCGUCUUAGUAGUUCCAAACUUAACUAAGAAUCUUCUAAGUGUAUCUAAAUUAACCAAAGAUAAUGACGUUUAUAUGGAAUUUUGGCGUAACCAGUGUUUUGUCAAGAAUUUGCAGGGUCAAACUCUUCUCCAGGGGGACGUUGACCAUGGUCUCUAUCGUGUACCAACCCUCAUCAAUAAGUGUUCUUCACCCUUGGCUCUUUCAGGGGUUCGCACAUCUGUUCAAGGUUGGCACCAACGUCUGGCUCAUCCACAUGAGUCACUACUACGCAGACUUCUCUCCUCCUUCCAGCUCCCUGUUUCUUCCAAGCAUUUUCCCACUGUUUGUGACUCAUGCCAGCUCAGGAAAAGUCGUCGUUUACACUUACCUGCUUCCCAUAUUUCUGUUUUAUCUCCAUUUGAUCUUGUAUACUCAGAUGUAUGGGGACCAUCUCCCUUAUUUUCAAUAAAUGGACAUCGUUAUUUCAUUCUGUUUGUUGAUGAUUGUACCAAAUACAUUUGGAUUUAUUUCCUAUCCAACAAAUCUCAAGUUUUCUCCACUUUUUUCCACUUCAAACAAAUGGUCAAAACCUAAUUUAAUCGCGACAUUAAGGCCCUCCAAACCGACUGGGGUGGCGAAUAUAGAAAUGUUUCCACUUUUCUCCACACCCAUGGCAUUCAGCACCGUGUUUCUUGUCCCUAUACACAAGAACAAAAUGGGGCCGUUGAACGCCGUAACCGUGUCAUUGUGGAAAAAGGCCUCACCUUGUUAGCCCAGUCGUCCCUUCCACAAAUUUUUUGGGAACAUGCUUUUCAAACCGCUACUUAUCUCAACAAUCGCACCAUCACUCCUACUCUCCACUUUAAGUCUCCAUAUCAAUGUCUUUACAAAAAAAUACCAGACUACACCUUCCUCAAAACCUUUGGUUGCUUAUGCUACCCCUUCUUACGCCCGUACAAUUCUCACAAAAUUGAUUUCCGCUCACUUCCCUGUAUCUUUCUAGGCUAUAGUUCAACGCACAAAGGUUACCUUUGUUUCCAUCAACAAUCAUCCCGUGUCUAUGUUUCACGCCAUGUCGUUUUUAAUGAAACCAUUUUUCCUUAUUUACCCCCAACCUCCAACAAGCCUUCAUCCAAUAUUCCGCCUCCCUCUGAUAUUACCCUUCACUUACUUACCCAAGCUGCUUCUCUCUCAUCUACAACACCACCAUCACAGCCUCCACCAUCCUUAACUCCCCCAUCCUCCUCUUCCACUUCCACAUCUUCUAUUACCCACACACCUCCACUUCCCUCCCAUCCUAUUCACCCCAAUACUCCAUCCUAUCAAACCUCGACCGUCAGUUCUCGUGCAAAGCACACUCAACCUUCAACCUCUCAUUAUCGACCCGCUCCAAAUAACACCCAUCGCAUGGUUACCAGGUCACAAACGAACUCUCUCAAACCUAGACUUUUUCACACAUCUCUUUCUGAUCCAUCCACCGUUGAACCACGCCUCUUUUCUCAAGCUAUUAAAAUCCCGUGUUGGCAACAAGCUAUGCAAACCGAAUAUGAUGCUCUUAUGAGGAAUAACACGUGGUCUAUUGUUUCUUGUCCUACUAAUGAAAAUGUAAUUGGUUGUAAGUGGAUUUACAGGAUAAAACGAAGAUCUGAUGGUACUAUUGAACGACACAAAGCGCGUUUGGUAGCUCAAGGUUUCACUCAAGAAGCAAGUGUGGAUUACUUUGAAACCUUCAGCCCUGUCAUUAAACCAACAACCAUUCGUUUGGUUCUCUCCAUUGCCAUUUCUCGUGGGUGGUCUAUUCGACAGCUAGAUAUCAACAAUGCUUUCUUAAAUGGAGAUCUAAACGAGGUUGUUUACAUGAAACAACCAUGAGGAUUUGAAGAUCCAACUCGUCCCACUCACGUAUGCCGCCUACAUAAAGCUCUCUACGGAUUGAAACAGGCUCCACGUGCCUGGUUCACUAAGCUAAAACACUAUCUAGUUGCCCAAGGAUUUCAAGCCUGCCAAUCCGACACUUCUUUGUUUGUCCAUGCCAGUCCAACCACCAUUAUUUACAUACUGGUGUAUGUUGAUGAUGUCAUUAUUACUGGCAGCGACACUAAUAAAAUCCAAUGAUUCAUCAGUCAGCUUCAUCAUGUGUUUGCUCUCAAAGAUCUUGGUCCUUUACACUAUUUCUUAGGGUUGCAAAUCACUUCCACCAACUCUGGUCUCCAUCUUUCCCAGCAAAGAUAUAUCCUUGAUAUUCUUCAAAGAAGUCAAAUGACCGAAGCUUCACCAUUAUCAACCCCUACGGAUCCCAACUCCCGAUUAACCUCUGAUGGUGAUCCAUUUCAUGAUCCAACAUUAUUUCGUAAAAUUGUUGGGUCACUUCAAUAUGCUACGAUUACUAGACCAGAUAUAGCCUUUGCUGUAAACCGCGUAUGCCAAUUCAUGCACUCCCCAACAACACAACAUUGGCAAGCUACCAAACACAUUCUUCGAUACUUAAAAGGAAUACUAAACCACUGUCUUCACUUCUCACCUACCAAAGCCGAUUCAUUACUAGCUUACUCCGAUGCCGGUUGGAUUUCGAAUAAAGAAGAUAGUCGUUCACAAUAUGGCUAUGCUAUUUUUCACAUUUCAAAUCUCAUCAGUUGGAGAUCACGAAAGCAACGAGUUGUGGCCCGCUCAAGCAUAGAGGCUGAAUAUCGAUCUCUAGCCUACACUACUGCAGAAUUAUUGUGGCUACACCAGCUGAUUAAAGAACUGCAUGCUCCAAUUUUCAAACAACCACUUCUCCUUUGUGACAAUGUGGGAGCAAUCUUCAUGAGCAAGAAUCCAGUCAUCAGCACUCGCUCUAAACAUAUUGCCUUAGACUUUCACUUUAUUCGUGAACAGGUAGAAGCAAGUGCACUCAAAAUUGGAUACAUAUCAUCAGUCGAUCAAUUAGCGGACUUAUUCACCAAACCACUCUCUAGAGAUCGGGUCCAUCUUAUUCGUACCAAGCUUCAAGUCCGUCCAAUCCUUGAGCUUGCCGGGGGCUGAUAAGCACGUGAUAUCAGAAGAUUUCAAAGUAUCUUACCUGGUCAAAGUAUUUUACCUAGUCUUGGGUGCCGUUACUUAGUGCCAUAUAGAUAGGACUCGUUUUUCCUUCUUUUCCACUGUAUAUAAAUACACAGCUUGUAUAUGUACAAGAACCAUCAGGGAAUACAAACAUUCAUUUUUACAGUCAUACAGUUUCUCCAUAUGUGGAAUCCAGAAACGAUUCAUAGUGGAGGAUGUGGGUACCGAUCAUUGAUUUUUCUUAAACCCAAGUUUGCAAUCGAGCAAAUUGAAUCCCUAAUUUGGAAUCAAACAAAUCGAAGAAUUGAAUGUGCACUUUAUCCGCAAUCUUACUUUUAUGCAAAACAUGGGAAACUCUGGAAGGUGGUGGCCAACUCCUUUAUGAUAACGGGUAUAGGGCCACAAUGCCAACAAUACCCUUUGGUGAUUGGAAAUGUUAUAUUAAAUACAAUUGAGAUGAUUAAACACGUGGAGGGUUUGAAUGGUAAAGAAUGAAGGAACAAGUUCAUCACCAUUAUUAUAUGUAAUUUUCACACCAUAUGUCGGUUAAAUAUUCAAAACUGAUGAUAUAGUGGAGUCAAACAAAAAGAACGAAUUCUCAGUUAGGAAAGCGGAGUCAAACAAAAAUCAAAAACUCAUGGUACAAACAAUUAGGGGUGAUCGCGGUUCAGUUUGAAACCGUGAAACCGGCCAAACCGGUCAUCGGUUUGAUUUUACGGUUUGUCUUUUUCUUAACGGUUUGGUUUGCGGUUUCGAACUUUUCAAACCGUAAUGAAUGGUUUGACUUAUGGUUUUUACAAUUUCAAACCGUAUAAAAACCGGACCAGACCGUAUCUAUAUAUUAAUUAAUUUUUUAUAUGUAUUUGUAUUUUGUUGUAUUAUAUAUUAAUUUUUAUAUAUAAAUAAUAAAAUUUAAAACCCACAAGUCCACAACAUUUAAUUAUCACAGCCUAAUCCUAAUUUAUUUUGUGAACCCAAUCCCAAGUCCAAGAGGUGUAUUUCUCUUACCCUAAUCCCAAAAGACGCGCUGUCUCAAACUCAGAAAGACAGAAACUCGAAUUCCUUUCCCUUUUGGCACUUUUAAUAGGUUAAUAGUGCAGUUUUUUUUACUAAAUUAGUUUAAUGAACUUGACUAAAUUGGGCCUAAAAAGCCCAAACCGUGAAACCAAACCGGAGCCAACCGUUAGUAAUGGUUUGGUUUGGUUCGGUUUUAAAAUUUCAACGGUUCGGCUUCGGUUUUUGCUUGACAAAAACCGUUACUAACGGUUUGACUUCGUUUUAACCUAAAAACCGAAAAAACCGAACCGUGAACACCCCUACAAACAGUUAAUAAAACUAUCUCUUUGAUUAAAUGAGAAAAUAACUCAAAACUCAAUUUGUGAAUACAAUCUCUUACCCUACACGGCUAAACAAGAUGUAUAUAUAUUCUAAUCUACCGACUUCUAAUUAGAUCACAAUUAGGAAACUAGAAACUGAUUUGAACAUAGUUUCCUAAAAACUAAGUUGAUUUUGCUUGGUCUCCAAGUCCUACUCGACUUAGGAUUCCAACAAUCACCCCUAGAUCUCUAAGUCCUUCUAGAGAAUUCUUCAACACCGAUCAAGCUCCACAUUUCCUUCAAUUUGGUCCGAGCUAGUGGUUUUUUAAGAAUGUUCACCCUUUGUUCUUCACCGGGAAUGUACUCCACCUCCACUUGUUCGUUUUCAACACAAUUACGAAUGAAGUGAAUCCUCGUGUGAAUGUGUUUACUUCUUCCAUGAAAGGCGUGAUUCUUCGUUAUUCGAUAGCCGACUUGUUAUCAACUUUAAGAAUCACUUUUUCUUGUGCUUUGUUCAUGAUUUCUCCAAAGCAAAUCUUGAAGCCAUAUUGCUUGACAUGCGGUCGCCGUGGCCGCCAUGAAUUCUGCCUCGCAAGAUGAUAAAGCAACGGUAUCUUGCUUUUGCGAACACCAUGUAAUUGGAGAUGACCCGUAGUAGAAAAUGUGAACGGUUGUGCUUUUUUCGUCAUUCGGGUCAACAUUGUGGCUACUAUCACUAUAACCAAUAAGUUGCCCUUGUCCCAUCCUCUCGUACUUGAUUCCGUAUCCCGUUGUUCCUCGUAAGUACCUUAAAAUGUGUUUGAUUGCAACACCAUGUGAUUCUCUUGGACUUUGCAUGUAUCGGCUAACAGCUCCUACUACAUAUGUCAUAUCGGGUCUUAUUUGCAAGAGAUAUCUAAGGCAUCCUACCAUCGUUCGAUAUUGUGUCGGUUCGAUUUCGGGUUCAUCUUCGUCCUUUGACAAUUUAUUUCCCGGUUCCAUUGGAAUGUGGGUCGGAUUGCAAUCAUGUAAACCCGCUUCUUUUAAAAUGCGUUGAGCAUUUUCCUCUUGGUUUAUAGUAAUCCCUGAUUCUUCUUGCUUAACUUUAAUGCCAAGGUAAUAAGUCAAUCUUCCAAGAUCUGACAUCUCAAAGUUCUUGGACAUCUCUAAUUUGAACCUCUUGAUCAUGCUCAAAUUUGUAACUAUGACAAAUAAAUCAUCAACAUAAAUUGCUACAAUUAGCAAGUUAGAUCCUUCACUUUUCCGGUAUACCGAUGGUUCUUUCAUGAACUUUUGAAAUUUCAUACUCUUCAAAAUCCCAUCAAGCUUCGUAUUCCAUGCUCGAGGUGCUUGUCUUAGACCAUAUAAUGCUUUUGUAAGGCGAUAUACUUUAUGCUCGUUGCCUUUCUUUAAACAACCUUACGGUUGUGAUAUGUAAACGGUUUCCUUUAAUUCUCCAUGUAAGAAUGCCGUUUUAACAUCUAAGUGGUGAAGCUCCCACUCAUGAGUAGCAGCUAAGGCUAUAAGAAAUUGGAUGGAUUCGAUUCGAGCUACCGAGGCAAAUACUUCUUGAAAAUCAAUACCGGGUUGUUGCACGUAAUCUUUAGCAACCAACCUUGCCUUGUAUUUAUUAAUGGUGUCAUCUACAUUUUUCUUCAAUUUGAACACCCACUUGAGUCCAAUUGGCUUCACCCCCAUAGGCUUGUUCACGAGAGUCUAAGUUUAUCGAAUUGAUUUCUGCAUCCAUGGCUUUGACCCAUUCUGGUUCUUUCUUUGCUUCUUCAACAGAUACCAGCUCUUCAUUGGUUGUUAGAAGGAGUUCUUCGAGAUUAUCAAGAUCAAGCUCAUAAUCUUGAAAUCGUCUUGGAGGUACUCUUUUUCUUGAGGGUCUUUGAUUUGCAGCUCCUUGUUGAACAUUAUUAUUUACUGGACUUGGUUGUUCAUUAUCUUGUACUUCUGCUUCGUCUCCCAUCUCAUGAUCCGAUUCAAUCGGUUCAAUUGGAUUAUCGUUUAUAUCGUUUCCUUAGUUGUUGUUUGCUUCGUCUCUCGGAUAGUCCCAUGGUAUUAUGAAUGAGCCCGGUUUUUCAUUGUUGGUUCUUACUUCUUUAGUCCAAUCCUGCCCUUUUGUUUCAUCAAAAUUAACAUCUCGACUCAUGAUUAUUUUUUGUGUCACCAGGUUAAAUAACCGACAAGAUUUUGUACCCGGUUUGGAACAAACAUGUACUAGUGGGCUUGAUCUUGCAUCCAACUUCUUUAGAUUCACCAGUUCAACUUUUUCAUGUGCUAAAACUCAAAUAUACGAACAUUCUCUAAAUUCGGUUUUCUUUUAUAUAACUUUUCGUAUGGAGUUGUAUCACCAAGGACUCUUGUGUAAACUCGAUUGAUUAGAUUUGUAGAGUGAUUUACCGCUUCUCCCCAUAAGUAGUUUGGAACAUGCAUUGCCUUCAUUAUACUCCGUGUCAUGUCCAUAAGUGUUCGGUUUCUUCGUUCGACAAUACCGUUUUUUUGUGGAGAGUAUGGGGCGGUAAGGUGGCGUUUGACUCCAUUUUGUUCACAAAAAGAAUUGAACUUGAGAGAAGUAAACUCACCUCCUCGAUCACUUCUAAACACUUUCAAAGGCUUUCCAAUUUCAUUCUCCACCAAAGCUUUGAAUUUUUUGAAGUGUGUAAACGCAUAACUCUUUUCUUUCAUGAGAUAAAUCCACAUAAAUCGUGAAAAAUCAUCAAUUAGUGUAAAAAUAUACCGAUUUUGACCCUUGGUUGCCGACGUGAUCGGACCGCAUAAAUCACCGUGAACUAGCUCUAAUGGUUGUUUUGCUUUGUAUGUCGUCAUAGUCGGGAAUGACUUUCUUGUUUGCUUGCUCACCAAGCACGAUUCAAAUAAUUGAUUCUCAUGAUCAAAUUGAGGUAACCCUUUGACUAAACCCUUCUUAGACAUCUUUUUAAUUGACUCGAAAUUGAUGUUCCUAAGUCUUUCAUGUCAUCGCGACGCAUCUUCACUUAUUCUCGAGUGAAGGCAAAUAGGAACUCCAAUUUGUAAUUUUAUUUUAUAAAGGCAGUUUGGAGUUCUUUGUACUUUCAUUAAUAAGCAAUUAUCGACAUCGUGCAUGGUUAAAUAGUUAUCUUUCAUUCGAAUAUGACACCCGGCUUCGGUUGUUUGUCCGAGACUAAUAAUAUUGUUCUUGAGAUCCGGUAUGUAGUAAAUCUCUGUCAUCAACCUUUGUUGACCUAUCUUGCCUUGGAAAAGUAUAGCACCUUUUCCCUUGAUUUUUACAGACGAAUUAUCUCCAAAUUUAACCCUCCCAGUUAUGCCUUCAUCAAGUUCGGAGAAAAAUGACCGGUUUCCCGUCAUGUGAUUGCUUGCCCUGUUAUCCAAAUACCACACAUCGUUGUCUUGUGAGUCGUAUCGAGACGGUAACACCUUUUCUUCGUUUAAAAAUACGGUCUUGUGUAAAAAACGGUCUUGUCGGUGUCGUCAUAUUAGGCAAAAUUACUUUCUUGUAAUUUUUUAAUUUGGUCCGGACAUUGAGACGUGUAGUGGCCCGGCUAAUCGCACCGGUAACAAAUAAUUUUGGACUAGUCUUUUUUUAUUUUUAUUUUUUUGAUUAGGAUCAUAAUUAGAAUUGGGCGUGCUGUUGGACCGGUGAUUAUUGGACCCAGUGUUGUUGUUAGGACCGCCUCCUUGGUCCUGUUUUGUUUUAGAGCUUGAUCCACUUGACCCAUUAGACCCACAGGAUUCGGAUCCAGUUGAGCCAUUAAACCCGUGUGCUUUGUUCCCAGUCGCACCAGUCCCGUGAGCCUCCACUGCCUUCCCCUUUCUUCUCCGGUUUUGAUUCGAAGUUCCACCAUGCUCGACGAACAGUGCUUGAUCUUUCUCACCACCAUAAGAUUCUUCUUCUCUGAUCCUCUCUUUAUAUGCCUUCAUCCUGCCAACUACAUCAUCAAAAUUGGUAUUAUUUAGGUCUAGUAUAUGUUCCAGUGAUGCUACCAUAUGAAUGAAUUUUCGUGGCAGUGACUUAAGGAACUUCUUUACAAGCUUGGAUUCGUCGAUCACAGAUCCUAAUGCUGCCGAUUUUUAAGAAAUUCCGGACAGCUUUUCGGAGAAAUUGUCGAUCGUCUCUGAUUCGUUCAUCCUAAGCUGAUCGAAUUCGACACCUAGGGUUUGAAGACGGGCCUCCUUCACUCGAUCAACCCCAAUGUAUCGAUCCUUGAUUACGUCCCAAAGCGCCUUCGAAGACUCGACUUCUCUGAUUUGCAUGAUUAAUGAUUUCGGGAUCGCCUGAUACAAUAAUCCCAUUGCCAGGUAAUCCUUUUCAUCGUUUUCUCUAAUUCUGGGUCGAUAAUACUCCACGCUUUAUGAAUUUUUAAAACAACCUUCAUACGCAGGGACCAAGCUGUGUAAUUUGUGGUAUUGAGCAUGGGACAUUGAACCGAGGUCGCUCCAGUCUCCUUCUCCCUCCUCAGAGCACCGCCUCAAGACCCUUCAUCUCCUAUCAUGUCGACCACCUUCUUCAACAGGUAAGUAAAUUGAUUUCAAAACCAUAUGUUCUUGGCUCUGAUACCAAUUCAAGUCAAGAAUGUAUAACACAAACAAUUAAUCAAACUAUCUCUUUGAUUAAAUGAGGAAAUAACUGAAAACUCAAUUUGUGAAUACAAUCUCUUACCCUACACGGCUAAACAAGAUGUAUAUAUAUAUAUAUAUAUAUAUAUUCUAAUCUACCGACUUGUAAUUAGAUCACAAUUAGGAAACUAAAAACUGACUUGGACAUAGUUUCCUAAAAACUAAGUUGAUUUUGUUUGGUCUCCAAGUCCUACUCGACUUAGGAUUCCAACAUAUGUUUUACAUGAGAAAUUCCAUUUGUUACAUGCCUGGAUUCGGUCGGAACAAAAGGCUAACAUAAAACACCCAAGAAACUUAAAAAUUAGUAAGAUAUGGAUGUAUUAUAAAAUUAUAUUAACAAAAGACUGAAAGAGAAUGUUGGUGGUAUAACACAGUGAUAAGUUUAUCACUUUAGUAACAUUAGUAAAUGGACUAUUAUAAGAUGAUCAAGUAUAUGCAUCCUUCAUAAAAUACUUAUUGCUAUAUGUAUUCUUUUUUAUCAUGAUUAUUUUUACUUUUUGACACAAAUGAAAAAAUAAAUCGUAACCAUAAAAUUUUUAGUCACAUGAUUUUUUUUAAUAAUUUAUCACCAUAAAAUUAAAUUAUGACAAAAAAAUAGUUAUUGUCAUGUUUCUUUUCUUUUAUCAUGACAAGUUUACUUUUUAGACAUAUAAAAAAAAAGUAAACGACAACCUUAAAAUACUUAUAGUUACAUGUUUUUUCUUUUACUAUGUUGCUAAUAAACACUGCCAUUUGGUCACAUAAAAUAAUUUUAGUCACCAUAUAAAUUAGAUUUUUGUAACAGUUUAUUCAUGUAACAAAUUUCACCCUAUUAUUUCGUCACAUAAAUUUCGACUUUGUAUGAGCUUAUGUAUUUAUCAUUUCAAUUAAUAAUCAUCAAAAGAUUAAUCUACAUAUCAAACAAAAAACCGUAACAAGUGAUGACAUAUGGCCAUACUGUUCAACCCUGGCUCGUACUUGUCAUAAUUUUAAUGCUAAAUCGUGGCUAAAGGUGUAAAUAUGAUUUAAAAUGGUCACAAUAAUUUAGCUAAAGUAUGGCUAAAACAAUAUUAGAACAUCAUCAAUGACCGUUAUAUAUCAAAAUAUUCAAAAAUGUGGUCAAAUUGUUUUGACAAAAUUAUGGCCCUUGGUCAUUUGGUAUCGGUGUUCAAAGGGAAUUUUCAAGGGCACAAUUCCUAUGAGCUCUUAUAGAACCAGCAAAAAAUUUAUGAACAUUACAAACAUACUAGUAAGAACCUAAGUACUCCGUAGUUUAUAGAGAAUUAUGUGAGACACAUACUGAUUAUUUAUACGAAUGAUAGAAUGAUUCAAAGAGUACGAGCCUACUAUUUUCCUAGUAAAAUAAUAACUUCUUAAAAUACGGUUCAAAGGGCAACACCAACCUAUCCUAUGAAAGGUUUAACUAAUGUAUUUUAUCUCGGUGGCUUGAAAACGGUCAGAUGUUUUAUAUGAGGAUUGUUGGAAAAAUGGGUUUAUCCAUACUCCAAAAAUAGGCUAUCUCUAUUUCUAAACACAAAUCCAGAUGUUGGUAUAAUAUGCGCUUAAAACGUAGUUAAAAUGAAUGAGAAACUAAUCUUUAAAAUGAAUUAGUUUGAUGAUUUAGAUAAAAAUUAUUAAUGAGCUUAAAUAAUCUCAUAGAGGAUGGAGGUUGAACAAGAAGUUUGUAUAUAACUUAGUAGAAUUUAUUUUUCUCCUUAUAAAACUUAUAGUGUCAGGUCUCUCUCUUGUGUCUGUAGAGGGUGAAGCUACGAACCAAAGUGCCUUGGUUCACUAAACUUGUUUGUGAGCGUGCACGAAUACACCGCUCUACCAAAUAAGUCCAUGGCAUUUAAGUAAAUAUUUCUAUUUCAUUACUAAAAGUUUAAUUUAUAUCAAUUACAAACCUUGCAUUAAACAUAAUAUUAAUCACAUAUUUUCGGUUUUGAUUUUUUGGUUAAUGUUUGUCAUCAAUUCAUCUAUUGCAUAGUUGAUGCCAAUGUGUCGGUUAUACAUUUUUCUCGGUAUAAAUACUACACUUUAUGAGAUAGAUUGAGACAUCUUAUAUGUUAUUGAAUCUCUUCCUCUACCUAUUUCUUGUGUUUCCUGACACUUUCAAGGUAGAAUUCAUGGCUAAAUGUGGGCAGUCUCCAAGAAGCGCUUUUAGUUGUUGCAUCCUUGGAAACAAAUGUUUGAUUGCGCGAGAAUUUAUUCUAAGAACACCAUGUUAAAACAUGUUAUCAUUUUCUGAUUUCUUGUUUGUUUUCAUAUAUUACCGUAAUAUAUUUUUCUACAAAACAACAAUGUUUAAAUAUCCAAAAAUAAAAUCAUUAAAAUCCAACAAUAAUAUGUCAUUUGUUUUGAUUAACUUAGAGAUGGAUCAACAAGGAAUCUUUAGAUUAUGUAGUUAAGUUCAUCAAAACUAAUGAUGACAUUUAAUGAUUUUAACUAUUAUUUUAAAUUUAAGAUAUUGUAAAUUAAGAAGUAAUGCGACUGACCUUGUGCUUUUUUUUUUGGCAAUAAUGGCCUCCAAAACGAGGGUGUCCAAACCAGCUUAUGCGUACAUUGACUAAUCCUCCAUGGGAACAUGAAGUUAUGUCAUUUGCCCCGGAGUUAUAAAAAAUGAACCUCCAUGGCCACCCGAAGAAUAACAAUGUUAGGAUUCGAACAUGGGUUGUAACUUAUCCAUCAUAUCUUCUAUAUGACUUACCCCUACACCAUAAUCCUUGUGGUUGAGAAUGAGCUUUUGUUAGUCAAGUGGGGAAAAAAUUAUUGACCAAAUUGUACAUGAGAAUGAAAAGUUGAAAUUAUUUUCACUAAUCUUGUAGAUGUUGAUGUGAUUAUAAAGAGGUAAUCAGCCAGGGGGAUUGUUUGUAACAUCCUUGAAUGUUUAGGAAAAUUUAAUAUGUAUUUUGCUAUGAUUGUACAUUACAACAAGUGAAUUCUUAUUUUCAAUACUGUUAUGUUAAUAAGAAUGAAAGUUUAGUAUAAUGAGUUCCGAUAAGAUUUAUACAUUUUUUGAUGAAGUGCAUAUUUUUGAUGAAGUAAGGAUUAAAACUUGAAAGAAAUGAAAGUUACCAAAGUAUGUUGCUUAAAACAGGAACUUAAAGACAUUACACGGCCCGUGUAAAAUUACCUUUGGAAAACAACAUUCGUUCAAAGGAUCACAAAUUAUCUUUUUCAAAAUACAUUGACCAAAUCGAAUUUUUUUAAAUUACCUAACCGUAUAAAAAUGACCUUGGGAAACACGGGCCAUGUAAUUCAAGGCACGAAAAACACGGCUAAUAUAACUUGGUGGACUUGAAGAUUAUUAGAUUAAAAGAACUUAUAUGGGCUCUUUGUCUCUCCAACUCUAUAAAACAUUUCAAUUACAUGUGAAAAUGAAUUUUGGUGUUCUUGAGCUUGAUUUGAAGGCAAACCAUGAUAUUUUAAGAGGAAAAAAGGAGUUAAACUUCAUUCAUAUGGGGGUUGUUUGGU